AAAUCACUACCUAGAAAACACAUAGCAACCCACAAAAAGGACAAUGAACAUGUAACUCAAUUCUUGAAACAAGCUACAUCGUCUAAGUAUUUGAAAACCCUAUUAACAACAAACUCAUAGAAGAAAACCCACAAAAAAACAUAACCACCACUAACUACCACCAAAAACCACCACACAAAACUACCAUUAACCAUCACAAAAACCACCAUUAAUCCUCACCAAAAACCAGCACCAGCCACCAUGAGCAUCACCACCAAAAAUCACCACGAUUACCACCAUUAAAAAACCAGUACAACACCACCAUGGAAACCACCACGAAGCACCACAAACAAACACAACCAAAAUUUCAUCAAAACCAUAACAGAUCAUAUGCAGACACGUUGGAAAAUAAACUUGUGUAGUAUCUUUGUAACUUUUGCAAGCCAAAUGUUUAUUAUAUGAUAUAAAAUACAGUUAUAGAUUUUUAUUUAGGCGUUUCUCAGGGUAGUUUCCUGCCCCCAUAUUUGCCAAAAAAGAAAAAAACAGAAUCCCCAAAGCAAACGAAAACAAUCUAAAUAAAAUAUAUAAUUAAUAAGGUCUCUCGUUGUAAUAUAUAAGAAGCAGCACUUUAAUUCCAAUCAAGAGGCUUCGAAACUUUAGUACUUUAAUUGCAAUAACUAUCCAGUACUUCAGAUCUUUAUCACCCUAGCAAGGCAAUUGUCUAUGGGCUUUGAUGAUGGUAAGCAAGUCAUAGGACAUUCUGGAUUCACUAUCUCAAGCCUGUACAAAAAUUGAGCUUGAUUUCAAACUAAUUCCUUUCUAUGAAAUUAAUUUAACAGCAAAAAUUAAAAUGUAUUUUGGACACUACUAGAAACUAACGUUUCUCCUGUGGAUUUUUCAGCGGAAAUUAUUCCGCAGGAAUUCCUGAGGAUUUUACUGUCAUUUCUUUUACUUGAACAAAAUUUCAUGCGAAUCCUAAAAUCUUAAGGAAACAAUUACCCACGAUGGUAUUACGUACUUGUGAACCUAAAUCCUUGGCAAAAACUGCAGAAAACGGGUUACCCAUUGAAUUUUCACCAAAAUCCGCAUGUAAUUCCGUAGAAAAAUUGAGAGUUUGUAGCAGUGAAAGUUUUUAUAUAUAACCGGUGUCCAGAUUUCAUUUCCGUGUUUAACUUUAGCACUAGUUCUAUUUUCUUAGAGUAGUAAAUAUUGAAAACUAGUUGGCAAGUAGAUAUCUCCUCCAGGAAACUGGUACCAAGUGUAAGAAUAAUAUGAAUAAUCUAUAUAGUAAGAAUUUAAUAAAAAUGAAUUAAAACGAGAGCUCACUUGUAAUUAUUAAGGAAAUAAUGUAGAAAAAUGGAUAUUUCAAUUUUAGCCAAGUCACUCCCAGGACAGUGCCUACUUCCUGCUCCAAAAGGAAGGAAUGUUCCAACUUUAGCAUUGUGAUUCUGCACAUAUGAAAAAAAACACUAAUAUACACAAGUACUUUUGUUUGUAUCUUCCAAAAAUAGGGUUUUAGAUUAUACAAUACAAUACAACUCACAUUCCAUCUCGAUGGAUUAAAUUUCUCCGGGUUGGGAUAAUUUGUAGGAUCCAUAUAUGAAUAGCUCUUGACCAAGUUAACACUUUCCAUCCUUUUGGUAUUAUAUAGCCUGAAAAUAUGUAGAUUACCUCUUUUAUUCCUUUUGUUUCAAAUAACUUUCGAUUUCGCAUAUAAAAACUAGGGUUAAAUAUUGUUUUAGUCUCAAUAACUAUAUCAUAUUUCUUUUAUAAAUAAACCAUUGAUGUUAACGUCUAUAGUUGCCUCCCGAAAAAUUGCGAAGUUGAUGCUGACAAGGCGUAACACUUCGUUGAUUAUCUGUAAAAAAAUUGAGAUGAAUUAACGCCUUUUUUUUUUUUUUAUAAUUAACACCUUUUUUUUUAUAGAACCUUAAUUAGUUAAGAUGAAUCUUUAAAAAAAAUUGAGGAAGGAUAAAUUAUAUUAUUAAUUAAGGCAAUACUAAUGACUAUUUCAGAAAUGUUUCAGAGAAAAUUUGAACUUCAUCAAUUAAGCUUACAAUGAUGAACUCUAUGGAAUUUGUUUUGGUGAAUUGAACUCUAUGGAUUAGUUGAGAUUAGUUUUUUUUUUUUUUUUUAAUUUAUAAUUUACAUCACAAAUUUGUAUGUGCGUACAUAUACUUAUCUACCAAAAAAAGGUGUUCCCUAUAUAUUGAUAUACAUAGAUGAUUUUUUAUACAUUUUUAUUUUAACUAGUAUUUACUAAUUAGUUUCGAUUAAAAUAGUAUUAUUAUUAAAAUUAACUACAAACUCAAUUUUUUUUAGAGUAAAGUCAAAAUAAUAUAUAUUGGUGUAUACAUACCUGAGAAAGAUAAACCAUUUUCUUUAUCUCCUUAAGACUUAAUUGUUUCUGUGUGGGCAGUCUCAUCUUCAUAAUUUCCUCCUGCUCAUCCUAAAACAUAUACAUUCUCUAAUUAUGAAUAUGACAAUAGUUUUCUAAACAAAUGAUAUAAAAAGAGAAUUUAACUUAUGAUAAUGAAUAUCCUAAUUUCGUUUUUCAUCCCCAUAUAAAAUAUAUCGUUUAGGCCUACAAAAUUAUCUUGCAGACAAGUUUAGUUUCUGUAGUAAAGUUAACAUAUAUUGUAGUCAGUUACUAAUUAAAAAGUCCAAAUUGUUUAUAAACACAAGAAACAAAUCAUGAUAUUAUUUCAUGUUUGAUUUUGCAAUGACAAAAAAUUGAGUUUGAGUGAAUUGAUUUUGUAAAAUUGAUUCUAACUAAAAGCGAGUUGAAGAUAAAAUGAUUUUUAUUUGAAUACAUUAAUGUAAAAGUUAGUUGAACUAUAAAUUUGUGUAAAAAAUCAAUUUUAAAAUCAAUGGCUGCAAAUCUUUGCUUUAAGUAGAUUCAAUUCUGAAACCAGAAAUAAUUCUACAUCUCCGAAAUCAAUUUUGGUCUAUUUAUAGAAGUGGAGCAAAUGAAUAUGUAUACUCCCUCCGUUUAUUUUUAAGUUUCUUUUUAAAAAAUUAACACCAAAUUAGCAAUGCGUAUUUUUGCAGAUUUUUUUCCUAUUAUACCCUCAUUUUAAUCCACCAAUAAAUUCAUAUAUAUAUAUAUAUAUAUAUAUAUAUAUAUAUAUAUAUAUGAAAAUUACACAAGAAUUGAAGUGGAACUACAUAUACACUAAAAAUAUAUUUCUUCAACAAAAAACAAAAUUAAUCACCUUUGCUUUUUUCAUGAUAUGUGGAUUUUGUGUAAGAUAUAUCAUUGACCACAUCAUAGUAUUGGCUGUGGCUUCAUGACCAGCAAGUACAAUGCCUAUCAACAUAUCAAUAAUAUCAUCAUCAUCAGGUUUCCAACCAUCUUCAUCCCUUGCUUCUAAAAAAAUAUCAAGUAGAUCUUUAUCCUUUGUCUUUUCACCAUUUUUUAUCAUCGACCUCCUUUCUUCUACAAUUGGUUUAACUAAUUUGGCAAGCUUCUCCCGUGCCUAUUAUACCAUGUGCAUGUAAAUUAUAAUCAGCAACAAAAUAAGAAUUUUCCCUUAAAAAAAUAAUUAGAGUUUUAAUAUAGACCUCAAUAAAGAAUCAUGGGUUGAAAGUUGCAAAUUUUAGUAAAAUAAUGGAUUUUAUAAAUAGAAAAAUGGUCUUACUAACAAGUACUCUAAAGGCAUUGUUUAAAGAACCCAUAAAAAGAAAUCUUGUCUUGAAAAUACAAGUCAAAAACAUGUAAAAGUCAUAACUAUACAAUUUUCAAUAUAAUGCUUAAACAAUGCCCUAGGGGCUAUUUAUGUCAAUAAUAUCGUUAUUAUAUGAAGGUAAAACUGAAAAUAUAGGAAAUAGUUACCAUGAGUCCUUUACGAAAAGCAAAACCAGGAAGGUUAAUGGGCAUAGAGAACAAAGCAGCAUGCAUAUCAGUAAAAGAAUUCCCUAUUUUCGUAAUGAUAUGUUGAUUGUAAGAGCCCAAGAAAAUAUCAAUGAUGAUAUUAAAGGAAAUAUUUUUCAUUUCCUUCAAAAAUUCAAUUGAGUGACUCAUGCUAGAAAGUUCCUCCAAAGAAUUGAUCACAAUGUCUUCAAUACGUGGUAUGUACAUUUCUAAUGUAUUAUGGCCCAUGGUAAGAGAAGAGAUUAAGCGUCUAAAACGCAUGUGUUCUUUUCGAGAGAAACUCCAAACUGGUUUACAUCUCAUCACUUCUUUGGUAGAUUUUGGAUAACCAAUCUUAAAGGUCUCAUCAUUUGUCAACACUUGCCUACACAUGUCAGCCUCACAAACGAUGAUGCUUGGACUCCCGAAUAAAUGUGUCUUGUAGAUACCUAUUCGUCCAUACCUAAAACAAAAGCUAGCGAGUGAGUAUAGAAACUAUAAACAUAUGCUUGUGUUUGUGCGCGCGCAUGUGUUUGUGUGUAAUGAAGAAUUGCAAUCGGAGAAAAAUAAAAGAGACUUGGAAACAAGGUUGUUGAUGAAUGAAUCAGGAUGGCCUGAUGAGAAAUCUUUAACAAAGGUCAACAUAUUUCCAAUAAGUGGCCAUCCCAAAUGACCAGGAGGCAGAGGGUACUGUUUCUUUCUUAGUUUCACACAAAAAUAGCUUGCAAAUAAAAUGGCACACAUCCAAACCCAGUAUUGUAUUUCCAUCUUUGAAUAAUUGAAUAUAUCUAUCUAUCUAGUUCAUUUGCUUAUUAUAUCUAGUCUUGGAAGUGGGACGUUGAAGAGGGACUUCAAUAAAUAUAUCUAGUUGCAUUUAUCUUCCCCUAGAUUUUGUGUCAGAGUUGGUGAGGAUGGGAUGGUUCAACAUUGAUUAGCAUUGCCUUUGUUGAUAGCUAUAGUUGGGUACGAUCGAUAAAAGGAAUUAAUGGAACUUAUGGAUUCGAUAAAACUUUAUGACCGUACUCUUGCCCUAGCACAUAGGUGCCAGGUGGUGCAUGGUGAUUUAUAAAAGAGUACCAUUUGCUUUGUCACAAUCUCAUAUCAUUUUAAUUUGGACGCAUGUAUUUUUAGUUAAAUAGUUUAACGUUUAGAAAAUUAUCUUAAGUGAAUAAUUAAGUUGUUUGAGAUUCGACUUUCGACUCUUACAUACAUUUAUGUAUUAUCUUUAUCAACUAAGUUAAAUUUACAGAGAACAUUUUGACGCAUGUAUAAGUGAAAAUAAAUUAUAAAAAAUUAAUUAAAUAAUAUAUUUAAUAUGUAUGUUUAUACGAGUAUCCAAAUAAUUUAUAUCUAUGAUUACGUUCAUGUCGUGUCGCUCUUGAUAAAAGAGAUUAAUGACACUGUGAUCAUGUAGGGAUACAACUUUAUCAUUGUACUCUUCUAUCCAUCUAGGGUUUGUAAUUCGGUGUCUUCACUCCUGCAUAGGACAAAUAUGCAUUAUUUCCACCAAAAGAAAUAUAUGCAUUUGACAGUACAAACAAUAGUUGAAUAUCUCAAAAAUGAUAAAAUGAAAAUUCUUAUAUGAAAGGCAUUUAUAAUCACCUAUAAAGAAAUAAUGAUUGGAUUAUGUUUAAAAAAUUACAAAAAUACGUGAACAAUGAAGCAUGUCAAAGUUGAAUAUCGUUGUUAGAGGCGGAGCUAGGUGGACACAAGGGAGGGGCAUGGCCUUCCAAAGUCUCAAAAAGUACCACAAACUAGUACGCAAGUCUAAAAAAUAUGCACUUGUCUUGAUUCGUCCGAUUCAUCAAUUUCCAUGAAGUUAAAGGGGAAUAUUUAUGCCAACUAAUUCACAAAAGUACCACAAACCAGUACGCAAAUACCAAUUUGCGGUUCACAACAAUGUUAAGAAAAUUAUGUGAUUAUGAUCUAAAUGUGCUUGUAUGUGUGCAUGUAAAUGUGUGUGUGUGAAGAAGAAUUUCAAGGGGAGAAAAAUAAAGAGACCUGGAAACAAGGUUUUUGAUGAAUGAAUCAGGAUGGCCUGAUGAGAAAUCUUUAACAAAGGUCAACAUAUUGCCAAUAAAUGGCCAUCCCAUAUGACCAGAUGGCAAAAGGUAUUGAUUCUUUCUUAGUUUCAAAUUAUAGUUACCACUCAUUCAACCUCCACACAAAAAUAUUAACACAAAAAUAGCUUGCCAACAAAAUGGCACACAUCCGAACCCAAAAUUGUAUAUCCAUCUUUGAAUAUAUCUAGUUCAUGAUUUGCUCAAUUUUAUAUAUAGCCUUUGAAUUUAUUUUUUUUAAAUGCGGCUUAUAAUUAGUUAGUUAGAAAAUUUUGUCAAAUAAAAAAUUAGUUAGUAAAUCCAAGUCUGGUAGUUAGCUUGGCUAUGUUAUUUUACUUCUUUUGGACUUUGGUAGCCUAACAAGUUAUAAGUUACUUACUUUAAAUAGGAAGUUAGAUGUAGUUAGCAUCAGUUACUUUAAAUAGCAUCAGUCCCUUGGCACACCCCAUUGAUGAUGAUUCAGACCAACUCAUCUCCCUGCUUGCCCAUUGCUACACCAACAAACUUAAAACGCAAUUGUUCUUGUUAAAGCAGAAUUUUCACGGCACGGCAAAUCGUUGUUCAUGCACCACCAUGUGAUUUAUGAGGCACCGAUGUUGUCUCUAGCAAACUUCUCAGUUUAAUAAAUAGUUACAUUGUACUUGCAUUGAGUACAAUAUCUGAAACUAGGGUUUAGUCUAUUUAGGUCAUACCUUGAGAAUGAUCUCAAGAGGUGUAUUUAUAACUCUUCGGAGGCUUGUUUUCGCAUGAAUUCUGCUCAUUAUCCAAAUGGUUUCGUUCAUUCCCAAAGUAAAAGUCCAAAAUGCUCCUAUGCAUGUUAACUUACGUAUUGUGAGUUAACAUGCGCUAUAGUUAUAAGAGAAACGUAACUUAAGUCACGCUACGUGCAGUAAUUAGCCCAGAACCUCAUUCUGCAUCAUUUUCAAACAACACACACAUAAAUCUCAAUUUUCUCUCAAAUUACCCAACUCUAAAAUUCCUUCAACUUCAAAUUAAACAAGACUCCAACAACAAGAAUAAGUAAGCUUUCACUUAAAUUAUGUUGGUAUGAUAGAUUUUUUCACUUAAUCUAGAAUUUUUUAGGUUUAUUGUUUUGUUAAAAUUUUAAUUUUUUUUGCAAGAAAUGAUAGAAUGUUACAUGCAAAUGACUUAUAGUACUUAAUUGUUAAGAUGUUUACCGGUGUUUUUGGUAAACAACAUGACUAGUUUUGAUUAUUACAAGAUUCAAACCAGAAAUCUAGGACAAGUUGUGCAAUCUUUUUUCAUAAAAUACAUGAAUAUUCAUUCAUCAUAUUCAUAGGUUGCUUUAUAAACAAGAUAAAUAAAACUGUUUUUUGUAUGAAGGUAAUGUCUUUCGAUAGAAAGCACUAAAGAGUAAAGAAAAUGCAAGUAAAAAUACUUAAAAGUUUAACGCAAAAACUUAAAGAAAUGUAAAUUGCAUUGCAUUUGAAUGUAAAGGUGGUUCGAUAAAUCAAGUUACAUACAUUUUGUGACUCUUUUCUCUAGACGCUGGUACUUCGAAUGCUAGAAUUCUAUAAAUAAUUUGUGACCCGUUUUUCCUAUAAAAAACUAUUAUUUAUACAUAGAAGAAAGGCUAAAAUAUGGUUUUAGUCCCUGCAAAUAUGCCUCGUUUUGGUUUUAGUCCUUGUAAAAAAAAAAUUGUUUUUGGUCCUUGCAAAAUUUUUUGUUUUUGAAAGUAGUCUCUGACCCCAUUUUUGUGAUGAUUUGCAUACGUGGCACAUGAUGACUGAACCCAUUUUGUAGUUUUUGAUCCUUGCAAAAUAUUUUGUUUUUUAAAAAGGUCCCUGCAAAAUUUUUUGUUUUUGAAAAUAGUCCCUGGGACUAUUUUAAAAAACAAAAAAUUUUGCACGGACCAAAAACAAAAAAAAAUAAAUUUACAGGGACUAAAAGCAAAACGAGACAUAUUUGCAGGGACUAAAACCAUAUUUUAGCCUAGAAGAAAUGACUGCAAAAAUUGAACCGCUAAGAAUUGCACUUCCUCGACCAUAAAUUGUCUGUCUCCCUCGUCCUUGACGUUUGAAAGCAACCUUUUCACUAAAUUAACUGCAUGUCAAAUUGUCGUUUCUGUCGAACGAUCUCAAUAUCAAUUGAACCCAGCAACCUCCAAUCAUGGAUUUAGAGAAUUUUGCAGUUUUGAACCUUCUUUUACCCUGUCGAAUGUACAUAAGAUAAAAUACAGUCCAACAGGUUCAAACUGUCUCUGACAUUAAUGUUAAUUCACAUUCUAAUAUGGAGCAUAACCGUGAAAAGGAUCCUCUUGUUGAUGAAAAUGAGGAGACCAUGUGUAACAACAAUCACAUCAAAGAGAUCCCUGUGAACAAUGAGGUUGGUAUUUCAAUUUCCCGUAAUAAUUUACUUGAUCGGAGUUAUGCACGUGUUGUUACCGUUGAAAUGGAAGUGAUUUUUAUAAGUACGGAGGUGGAAACAAUAUUGAUGCUAAUAAGAGGACAUAAUGUUAUUGAUAAGGCAUCGGGUAUUCAACUACUAGACGAGCAUGAGGAUAGGGUGCCACCUGAUGGGAUAAGAGAAAUGAUAUUUGAACAUCUAUUUGAAGACAAUUUUUAUGACAAUUUUAUCUCUUAUAUUUAGAUUAAUUUUUAUUUUAUCUCUCUAUUAUUUUGAUUUCCGUGCAACUAUCUACUAUUUCUUUAUAAAUUAUCGUUGUCCGAUAAAUUGUCAACCAAAUUGAUGGUUCAAAUAACACUCAUCUGAGACUAAACUAAUUCCCGAGACACCGAUAGAUAUUCCAAUCAGAGAAAGAAGAUUAAAUCAAGAAGCAUAAUUAACAACUGCAACACCCGCUCUAGGGGUGCACCAUUUCAUCAUUCCAUACGAUUAUGAAUUCUAAAAUACUUAUGCAUAUCAUUAACUAAGAUGUGUUUAUUUAUUUAUUUAUUUGUGGCUGGCCAUUAUCUAGAGCAUGUAAAGAACGUAGUUUGAUUUUAGAGGCUUGUUGAUAUUCUUAUUUUUAACUUAAAUAUAUUUGUUCUAGAGUGCAAAACUUGAUAAGGAAACCUCCGAGACUCGAGAAAAAUCUUUAAACUGCCAAAUAUGUAUGGGUCCUUUUGUAGAGGAAAUGUCAACAACGUGUGCCCAUGUUUUUUUGCAAGAAGUGCAUCAAAGUUGAAAUAACUUCUUCAAAGGGUAAGGUUGUGUUUGGUAACACAAAAAAGCUAGUUUAUAGCUUGUUGGAUUAGCUUAUAAGCUCGUUAGAUGAAAACGUGGCGUGUUCGGUAACAAGUUUUUUUCAUGAGCUUAUAGCGUUUUUUGAAAAGCUAUUUCAAGUAGCUUUUUAGCUUAUAGCUGGUAGCUUUUUAUAUUUUCUUCCAACUUUAACCCUAUUAACUUGAAUUAAUUAUUUUCUUAAUUAAACAAAUACUCAUGUUCAUCUUUAUAACCGCCCCAUUUUUUCCCUUAAAAAAAAUGCCACGUUGUUUUUUUUUAAGGAGCACUUUAUAUAUAUAUAUAUAUAUAAGGAAAUGUUUUAUAUUUUGCUAUAACUAACCUGCCAUACACCACACAAAAAAUAACUAGGCUAUUUUUUUUAAAGAAAAAAUAACUAGUCUAUUGUACGUUGUAAAAUUUUAUAUAUUCUAGCUCACAUUUUGUUUCCAUCUUUCUCUUAUUUUUGGGAUUCAUAAAGCAGAGAUCAAAAUUGUCGGUGAAUUUUUUUUUAGGAUUAAAGGUCGAAGAAUUUUUUUACGGAGACUAAGACCAAAAGUUUGAAUAUUUAUAGGGACCAAAAACAUAUUUAACUAUAAUUAAAAAUAUUAAAAAAUAAAUACAUUACAAAAAAAUGUGUGUGUCUAUAUGUAUAUUAAAAAAAAAAAACAUGUUAUUUUAUGUCAUUUUAUACUUAUCAGCCACUUCAACAUCUAAUUUUACCAAACACAUUAUUUUUAAUAAGCAAGCUUUUCAGCUAUAAGCUAUCAGUCAUCAGCUAUCAGCUAUCAACUAGCUUAUAGCUUAUUUUUACCAAAUAGAGCCUAAAUGUCCAACAUGUGGGGAAAAGGUUAAACCGAAACAACUAGUAAGGGUGUUUCUUCCAUCUUUCAACCGAAGGUAAUUCCAUAAUUUAUAAGUUGGUUUUAAAUAGUAUUAUGAUUUUCCCUAAAAAAAAAUAUUAUGAUUUAAAUAAAUUUAUAUUACAACUAAAUUGAUAUUACAUAUUCAAAAAAUUAAUAAAUUGAUUCUCUAAACUUAAUACGAACAUACUUUCAUUCAUAUUAAAAAGUAUUAGAAUGUGUAUCAAUUUUCAAUAGAUUCCUAAAGUUAUUUGAUGUCAUUUAACUCCUUAUUUUCAAUAAGUAGUGUUAGAAAAAGUUGUAACUACUAUAACCUUAUGUUGUUUCUCUUUUUCUAUACAAUAGGAUCAUCCAAGCAUUGUUGAGGAAAAGUAGGACUGAAUAAUACUUCAUUGUGCUACCUUCAAUAUUAAUAUCGUUGAUGGGUUCUUGUAUUUUUAAAUGUUCAUUGUAGUGCAUGUGUAUUGUCAUAUGUAUCAUUUUUCAUACCUUGUUUUUUUAUGCCAUUACUUAGAUAUGUUUGUUGGUACUUUGGAUGCACAAUACUUACUUUUUUAAUAAUGCAAUUGGUGUUUGGUCUAUCUUCACAAUAUCAUUCACAAUAAUGCCGUUGGUAUUGGCUAUUUAAAGAGAGAAUCACAAUAUCAUUCACACGAAGAUAUAUAUCUUCAUGUGAAUGAUAUCUAUCUUCACAUAUAUACGAAUGAUGUAAAUACGAUUUCGGUAAGGGUUUUGGAAAUUUAUAGCUCUCAAACUAUAUAUUUCAAAUUAUCUCUUCAUAUAUCAAAUCUCAAGCCACUCAAUCUUUGGCAGUUAAGAACCUUACUAAUUCGAGUAAGUUGAUCAUUCCAAUAUCUUUUAGUUGAUUUAGAGUUAUUAGUUAGUACAUGAUUCUAAUAUUAUUCAUUUGGUUGGUUGAUUUAUUGGAUCAUAUUGCUACAACCUAGAUUUUGUGUCGAAAAAAUCAACACGUUUGUAAAACUCAAGCCUACCGAAUUCAUAUAUUUAGUUCUGGAACCAUUCCGUUGACUUAGACUCGCAAUUUAACUUAUUCCGCAAAAUACGCGCCAAAACCCGUAAGCAUUUUUCCAGCAGAAAACCCAACUUCAAAAGCACUUUCCGAGUUCGUUUCUAGUCCGAAUCACACAAAACUUAUAUUCGAAUUGAAGGGAAUUAAGCGUAGAAUCCAAAUAUCCAAUAAUCACUUAAUUACUUGGUCAUAUUGUUGAAAUUUGAGUUUCUUGACACUAACCAGUAGAGGAUCAUCAUAUUCAGAAAUGGCUUGAAACUUUAGCACAUAUAAUUUACGUUGAUAAUCUAUUGAUCGAAGAAGCUCAUUGUAAAAUCAUCAACUAGAAUUGUGUUUUCGAACGUCGUGAAUGAUCUCUAUCAUCAUGUGCACGAAGAUAUCUAUUAUAUCUUAUGAGGUCUUAUAUAUCAAGCUUUAUAACAUCAAGUCUUGUCUCUUAUACAAGAUAAACCAAGUCUUAUAUAUUUUAGGAUCUCUCUCCUUCUCUCAUAAUAAGAAGCAACAAGUGAUUAAUUACCAACCAAGAAGGUAUAUGAAACUUCAAUUUCCUCUUGUGAACAACAAUUAUGCACUUGAAACCUUUAUCACCUUAGCAAGGCAAUUGUCUUUGGGCUUUGGUGAUGGUAAGCUAGUAAUAGGACAAUCUGGAUUUACUCGAUCAAGCCUACACGAAAUAGAUAAAUUAGUAAUACAACUUACAUUCCAUCUUGAUGGGUUAAAUUCAUCCGAGUUUGGAUAAUAUGUAGGAUCCAUGUGAAUAUAUAGCUCUUAACCAAGGUAACACUUUCCAUCCUUUCGGUAUUAUAUAACCUAAAAAUAUGGAGGAGAUGAAAGUUUUAUUUUUCUUUAAUGUCCAACAAUGACAAUAAUAAAUAGAAAUAUAAAUGUUGACAUUGAAUAGCCACAAACCAUUGAUGGUAACAUCUCUUUUUGCCUCCCGAAAACUUGCGAAGUUCAUACUCACAAGGCGUAACAUUUCUUUGAUUAUCUGUAUAUAAAUAAAUACAUUGCAUUUCUUUGAUGUUUUUAUUUUUAGAAAAUAUACUGAAGCUUUAAUGUAAGCAUAUAUUAACAUUUUUUUUUAAUGAAAGCAUAUACUUCAAAGUGAGGACACUUCAAGAUCUCAAGCCAACAUCACCAUUGUAUUAUAUUACCAGAAGUCCUUUAUGGAAAGCAAAACCAGGAAGGUUAAUGGGCAUAGAGAAUAGAGCACCGUAAAUUUCAGUAAAAGAAUCCCCUAUUUUUGUAAUGAUGUGUUGAUUGUAAGAGCCUAUGAGAAUAUCUACGAUGACCUGAAAGGAAAUAUUCUUCAUCUCUUUCAAAAACUCCACUUGGUGAUUCAUACUAGAAAUUUCCUCCAAAGAAUUUAUCACAAUGUCCUCCAUACAAGUUAGGUACAUUUCUAAAGUAUUGUGGCCCAUGGUAAGAACUGAGAUUAAGCGUUUCACACGCUUGUGUUCUUCUUGAGAUGAUCUCCAAAAGAAUUUACAUCUAGUCACUUCCAUAGUGGAUUUUGGAUAACCAAUCUUAAAAGUCUCAUCAUUUGUUAGGAUUUGCCUACACAUAUCAGAAUCACAGAUGAUGAUGCUUGGACUCCCAAACAAGUGCGACUUGUAGAUACCAGUUCUUCCAUACCUAAAACAUAUAAGCUAGUAAGUACAUUGGGAGUGUUUAAAUCCAACCUAAUCUAAAUAAAAACUGUAAACCGAUCCAAAAAAAAAAAAUGAACACCACGUACAAUCAAAUAUUAUUAAAUGUGUUUGAAUGUCACUUUGUGAAAAUCGUUUGGAUUGGAUGGGAUUUUGAAUUGAUUUUUCAAAAUCUAAUCAAACAGAACCGCAUACAUAUAUUUAAAUAGAUAUUUUCAUUUUUUAUAAGCAUGAUAUAUUAUAUUAAGAUAUUAAUAUUUUGCUUUUAAAUUCUUUUAAUAAAUCAUAUUAAAAGAUAAUCAAUCAUUGUUAUUCCUUACUAUUAAUUUUUAAUAAAUCAUAUGUUAUAUUUUGUAUUAAACUUAAUAUUUUACCAUAUUUUAAUAUUAUUAUUAAUAAAAAAAGUUACAAUUUGUAAUUUAUAUAUCAAAAAAUCGAUUUAAAUUAAUCCGCAUUAAUUGAAUCAAAUCGGAUCAUUUUUUUAAUUUUAAAAAUUAGUCAUAAAAUCUAACCGAACCAUGUAUAAUUUUAUCUUUAUAUUAGAUGAAUUUUUGCCUCAAAAUUGAUUCCAACUGCUCCACAAACACCUCCACAAGUAAUUAGAAAAUCUAAAUGUGCAUGUAAAUGUGUGUGUAUGAAGAAGAAGAAUUUCAAGGGGAGAAAAAGAAAGAGACCUGGAAAUAAGGUUGUUGAUGAAUGAAUCUAGUCUUGGAAGUGGGACGUUGAAGAGGGACUUCAAUAAAUAUAUCUAGUUGCAUGAGAAAGUUUUGGUAGGGCACAAAUUUAACACUUCAAUAUUGGGCACACACACAAAAGCAAGAAAAAGUUAAUAGAAAAUAAAAUUAUAAUAUAUCAAUUGAUUUGACUAAAUACUUUUUAUUUAAUUUUGUUAGUUUUAUGUGAGUAUGUGCCCAAAAUUGAGGUGUUGGGUAUCUGCCCAAGCAAGACUUUCUCCUAGAAACAUCAAUGAAAUUAACUAUAAAUAAUUAUGGAAAUAUCUCCUUAUUAAAGAAUUAAAUUUAAUUAAGAAAAAAUUUAGGUGUAUUUUCUUAUUUAAUUUUCAUCGGCAGUUAACUGCCGAAGUUUUUCUCGGUAGUUAACUACAUCGGUUCUAUUUUUCUCGGCAGUUAACUAUCGAAGGGUAUUUUUGUCUUUUAUAUGUGUUUUUCAGCCUUAUAACAUAUGUAUACGGCAAUUUUCCCGAAAUUAAGAGUAUUGUUGUUCAAACCAUUUGAGUUUAACAUGAUGUACCACACGAGCUAAGAUAAAGACAUAGAUGAAUCUAUUUGAAAUCAUUGCCAGAGCGUAUAUAUGGCAAACAUCAACGUUUGUAUUUCUCUAUAUUUUGCGGAGCAAAGUAAUUGUUGAGCAAUAUUGAAUGUAAUUAAUGAACUAAAUGGUAUAUGAUUAAGUGACCUUAAUUAAAAGAGAUUUAGAAAGGGUUUAAAGAGGUUAUGUGAUUUUUGUUACCCUAAUUGGUUAAUAUGUAUGCUUAUUUCUUAGUAAAUGAAAUUCUGUGCUUGUUGUGAAUUGCCUGAAAACCUUAAUAAGUAAGGCAAGGCAUGUUUGUGACAUGUGAUUUGUGGUUUUUGUUUGUGCUUAGUCUUGAAUAGGCACUAUUGUUAAGCUUUUAACUCUAUGUUUACAAGAGCCUCUAUCGAGGGAAGAAAGACAAUUAUAUAGGAUUGAUGAUCCUUUUAAGAGAAUUGGACUUCUAUUCAUUCUCGUUUGUUCAUUAAAGAGAGACACAAGUUGAUUCUAACAGGAGAGUUCCACGGUUAUGUUAUGUGUUGUUAUAAUAUAGGUAGGGUGUGACAAGCUUAAUGACAGGGAACACAAUGUGAUACUAAGGGGAAACUCAUAAGUGUGUUUGGUUUGGCUUCUUUCCACUAAGAAGCACUUCUACAACGCUUCAAAAGUGAAAAUUGAGUUUUCAAUCAUGUUUGGUUUGCCUUUUAAGAAUUGCUUCUAUCCUCCAAAAGCAAUUCUGGAUGAAGGUAUAAUUCCUAACUUUUGAGUUAACUAGAAUCAAUUCUCCAUUAAAUUUUAUAUUUUAGUUAUUACAACCCAUUAUUUUCCUUUAUUGUCCUUUAUCAAUUUUUAUUUUUUUUUUGUAUUUAAUUUGAGGAACCAAAUUUAAUCAAAAAAUUUAACGAACCAAAUUAACCCCAUAAAAUAUUUAUGAAUCUGAGUUACCAAGUUUUGGGUUUUUUUUUUACUGUAUUUCCGUUCAGAUUUGUUGUAUGUAUUUUUUUUUAUGCUACGUUUUAUCAUUUUUGCCAACCAUCUCUAUUAUUAUUUUCUUUAAAAAAAAACCCUAUUACUUUUUAAAUUAAUAUAUAGAAAAAAUUAUUUAUUUACAUUAAAUAAUAUAUAUCUACAUUUAAUAUUGAUCUGCACAUACAUUCAACUAUUUUGUUUGUUUAUUUUUAUUUAGAUAUGUCCAUUUUAGUAAUUAUACAUUUAAAAGCAAUUUUGAUCAAAACUAUCCAAACGACAUUCAUUUUGUUUAAUCAAUUCUAUGUUAUUGUAUCCAAACAUAAAUCAAUUCUUUCAAAAUCAAUUCUGACAGAAUCAAUUCUAUUAGAAUCAAUUCUGUCAUAAUCAAUUUUAUCCAAAGCUGAACCAAACACACCCUAAGUCUCAUUAAAGAUAAAACUUGGUUGUCACGGGUCACUAAGCAACUUUUUUGUACUAUCUCCGGUCACAUUAGAAGUAAAUAUUGGUUUUUAAAUUCAUUAAAUGACUAAUGUAUCAUACAUCAAUUAUUAAAUAAAUCGAGUAAAUGGCCUCUGACUCUAUAUCUCGUUGUCACAAAGGUCACUAACUCAAGAUUAAAUACAAAUUAGUCCUUGUAUAUGCAUUUCCGUUAUUAGUUUAGGCUUUGACGUUAAAAACUUAUGUUAACUGAUGAGGUGGUGUGCAUGAGGUGUCACAUGGAUUAAAGUGAAAGUAGAAAAUGGUCAUUUUGAUCCUAGAACCAAAAAUCAAUAUCCUAAAAUUGAAUCUCAAAUUCUUAAAUUUUGAAUUUAAUCAUAAAUCCCUAAAUCUCAUCUAAUUAUCUCUUCUGUUCAAAAUCAAUUUCUUUUGUUUUUGUUGUUGUCAAUUCUUUGGAUUGUACUGAAUUCUAAUGUUUAUAAGAAAUCACCACAUUUUACUCCUCAAUUCCAAAAAAUUAUAAUUUUUUUUCCUUAUUCUACGGUGUAAGUGCAGUGAAGUUGAUUAAUAUAUUUCUACAUGCAUGUUUGAUAGAUGUGUUUUAGUAAAAAGUAAGUAAUGAUUGAAGCUAUUUUCAAUCAUGUUUAGUUAAGACAAAAUUUGAAGACAUUUUACAUGAGACAUGUUAUUAAUUAUAAUAGUCUACACCAUAUAAACUAAACUCCUUUGAUUGGCAAAAGGUUUAGAGUUUACUACGUUCCUUUCUUACCACAAAUCUUUCGUGAUUAACAACAACAAAAAAUAAAUUGAUUUUGAACAAAGAUGAAAUUAGAUAAGAUUUAGGGAUUUGAGAUUUAGGCCCGUUUGUUAUAGUUUUUUUUUUAUUUAAAAUAGAUUUUUUUAGUGUAAUAUGUUUUUGUUAUAAUUUUUUUAAUAAAGAAAUUUUUAAGGAAAGCUUCAAAUAAAAAAUUUAUUUGAAUAACUUAUUUUAAAAUGUCAUUCUAAUUAUUUCCUGAAUCUAUUACCUUGCUAGUCAUAAUAACCAUUUACUCUAAAUAAAUUUACAAAAACAAUAUUUAAAUAAAUAUGACUAGCGGGAAUACUUUUUACUUUUCAUACCACCACCCUAAAUAGAAUAUACAUGUAAGUCAAGCAAGCAAGUCAUGAUCUAAGAGUACAGUGCUACCAUGAGUCAGAAUUGUUUUUUGUGUGUAUUUAAAGAGGACUGCCAUGCAUCGUGAUUCUUUAUGAACCAAACCCAAAUUACCAAGUGAAAUUGGGAGUAUGCAUGAAUGUGUAACAUGUUAAGUGGAAUGUCUUCUUAAUUGCCUUGGAUCCAUUAUUUGUCAAUAAAUGUGGUCUGAUUUAAGAAAUUAUUUGUCUAGCAGUCCCUAAAAUACAGAUUAAUUCAUCCGUCUUAAAUUAUAUUUCGUUUUGAAAAGAAAAAAAAUUGUUUUGAAUUAUAAAUUGUUUUACAAUAUCAAUGUAUUAAUGUUAUUUUUUCUAUUAUACAAUUAAUUAUUUAUUACUAUCUAACUUUUUAAUUUUUAAUUUAUCUUUUCCAUAACAUUUAUUAACAACAAUUUUAUAAAACAUCUCAUAAUUACAUUUCUUUACAUGUGUAAAAUGCACAAAACAUCAUAUAAUUUGAGACGGAAACGCAGAGAUUUCCAUAAAACCGCAAUAAAAUUUUCACGACACUAAGGCUGAAUCCCAAAUCUUUUUCACCUACCAAGUUGACAUGUCUUAACUUUCUCACUCGUAGUUUCUUACUACUACUACAACUGCAACUACGGUCAAAGUUUACCACUUCCACCAUUUUAUUUAUUUGUAUUAAUAAAAGUAAAGAAUUAUUAAUUUAUUCAAAAUAUCUUUUAUUGAAAUUUAUGUCAUAAAAAUAAAAGAAAUUUUUAAAAAGUAUCCCCUUUCAUUUAUUUUUAUUAAAAUUUAUGUAGUAAAAAAUAUCGCUAUUUUCCUUUUAUGGUUAUAUAAAAUUAUUAACGAAAUAUUCAUUUUAAUUUAAAUUAAUGUUGAGAAAAUUUGUUGACUAUGCAAGGUAAUUAUUUUUUUAGAAGUAAAUUCUUUAAUCUCAAAUCAUAUUUUCCUUGUAUGCAAGAUCACAGAUAGAUAAAAUCACCACAUUCAUUCACAGUGGCGGAGCCAGAUACUUUUAGUAGUGGGGGUAACAAUUUAAUCUCUAAAGUAUCGCAUUAUUUUCAAAUUUAAUCUUUAAUAUGUAAAUAUAAUAAGUGAUCCGAUUAAAUUGAUUGAUUUCAUAUACUUUUAGAGCUAAAUUGAUGGAUUUCAGGUUUUAUUUAUUGACAAAAACAGAAAUUGAUUUAAUUUUUUUAGGCACAAACGGAUUUUACAUAGUUUAAGAAAUAAAUUCAAGAAUUAUCUUCUUGAAUUUUGAAUUACUACGGUCUUCUUUUCCUGGUUAAAAAAAAUUGUAAGACAAAAUAUAUAACAAAUUAAUAUUCAACAUUGCCAAUCCCUUCUAAUUUAAACUUUUAAGUCUUACCAUAAUAUAGUAUAAUAAUCAUCAUAUCAUAAAAUUAAAGGGGAUAAAACCAACAACAACUAAGAUGUCAAGGGUAAUGUAGUUGGUCAAACUUAAAUAUAAGUAAUUAUUUGUAAUUUUGUGUAGGUGUGAGUUAUGAUUAUACUAUAUAUUUAUAUACCGAAUGAAAAGAUAGUGGGGGCACCAGCCCACAUAUACCACUGAACGUCGCUCCGCCCCUGUUCAUUCAUCAUAAAAGGUGAAUUUUCAAUUGAUAUACUACUUAAAGAAAAAAAAAUCACACAUAAAAUCUCUUAAAAGUUAGGCCACCACACUUGCUUAAUGUGUCUAGGUCUUUUACACCCACACAUUUAUAAGUUGGUUAAAAAUAUAAUAAAUCAAUCGAAGAAUAUUUUAAUAGUUGAUAUAUAAAAAUUAAUUAUUAUAUAUAAUUUCUAGUUUAGGUGUAUCACAUCAAAGUAGUCAUAUAUCUUGUCAACGAAGAUAGUGCAUCGAAACAGGUAAAAGAGACAAACUGAAGGUGAGAAAAACACAAAUGGAGAUUGAAUUUUGUUGACUUUUUAUGAAAAUCUUAUUUUAAGUGUUUAAAUAAAACAAAAUAAGUCGAUAAUCAAAGAGAGAACAGAGACAACAUAAGUAAAUUAUCCUGUUUCACAUCACAAUUCGAGGUUAGUUCAGUCCCCUUACACUUUCAAUGGAUUUUUCACUAUAAUUACACAAAAUUACAAUUGCUCAAACACACAAGUUUUAGACUUCCUUGCCUCACAUAAGAAGACUUUUACAAUCAAAGUUUUACAAAAGAAUUUAUAUGUGUGUACACUUUGUAUGUACUUAGAGAGCGGUAAACCAGCUUAAGUUCAAGAAACACUAUGAAAUAAACGAAAGAGCGGUUGUUUAAAGAGUGCCAACACAUCAGAUUCUUCCUUAAAAAGCUUUGAUCAAAUUUGAAAACUUGCCUCAAAUGGAUUAUGUCGUUGAAUGGUACUAUAUGAGUUCUUUGCUUCUUAGGGAAUGAUAUGUUACAUUCUCUUUGUCAUUGAAGUUCUUUGUUUAUUUUUGCACAAGGUCAAAAGAAGACAAACAUACUAUCAGAACUUUAAAAGUGAUGUUCCUUUAGAAGAAGACAAAACUGGUUAAAGCUCAUGUGUCCUUUAGAACUUGUUCUCGUUAGAGUCUUCAAGACACCUUCCGAUCAUAACUUUGAUGUUAUGUUGACCUUUCUUCUAAUCAUCUUCUAAGUAUUAAGACAUUUCCGAUGCUUCUCUAGAGCAAGAAAUUGUUUUCCUUUGUGUUCAGAAUUUGAUGUAUCAGAACCAAAAACUUGACUUUGAAGUCAAAAUUUACUUAUACGGCCAUGCACAAUUGAACACACAUUAGAGUUUCAAAUUAUUUUUUCAUACGUUAUUAUCAUUAAAACUUUAGAGACAUUGUUUUAAAACUCACUUUGGUUCAACACUAACAUCAUCAAACAUAUCUAGAACAAGCAACCAGAAAACAUAAAUUAAUUAUAGAUCACAAAAAUAACAUUCACAGUCCUAAUUAGCAACUGAAAAUUGAUUAACAACUAAAAAUAAGGUUACGACAUUUCAUUGGACUGGAUACCGAAUUUUAAAAAGAAAGUUUCAACAUUCACAUGCACAUUGCAAUCUUUCUUGGACAUGUCCGAUGAAACUUGAAGUGUGUUAUAAUUAGUCGAGUGACACGUUUUAACACUUCUAAACACAACGUGUGAUGUGAUUACAUGCAAUCACACACAUCAGAACGGUCUAAUAUUUAUCAUUAGAUCGUGAUCGGAGGGUUCAAAUGUGAACUUGCAUACAACCCAAAUCCACCUAUGGUUUACCAUAAAGCCACUAGGGUGGACUCCACUAUCAAUUUCCGAAAGUGAUUUUUCACUUUUCUCAAACACCAAACAACACCUUACACUACUACUAGUAGGUACGUAGACUCUCUUCAGUUUCUUUCUCACUCUCUAUAUUCUUUCUCCCUCUUUCUUCGCCGUGUAUCAAAUUCCAAUAAAUUCAUACCAUAAAAGCGUUUUUUCUUUCUCUUUCACUUUAUUCCCUUUUAGUAGAAUCCUUAUCACAAGUCACAACCGCGUAAGUGAUUACUGAUUAAGCGAUUUUUCUUCUUCUUAUUCUUACAGCAUUAUUCUCUCUUCUCUAAUUCCUCUGUUUUUUUCUUCUCUUUUUCCUUAUUAAACCCUUCACUCAAAAUCAAAACCCAUUUUCAUAUCAACAAAAAGAUAAGAUUUUUACAACAAUUCUAACAAAAUUCAAAAUGGGUUUUGGAGUUUCCAUCAAUCUUCACCUUGUUUUGCUCUUUUCCAUGAUCUUUGUUUCUGCAUGGUCACAAGAUGAUGCUGCAAUGCAAAAGCUGAAAACUUCAAUCAAAUCAUCAAGCAGUAAUCUUGAUUGGUCAAACUCAGAUUAUUGCAAAUGGGAGAAAGUUACCUGUAAUGGAAAUCGUGUCACUGCAAUUCAAAUUGCAGAUACAAACAUUCAAGGUUCUUUACCAAAAGAAUUGAUGCAACUCACUGAGUUAACUCGGUUUGAAUGCAAUGGAAACAGUUUAUCUGGUGAUUUUCCUUACAUGCCAAUUUCACUUCAGCAUUUGUCUAUUGGUAACAACAAUUUCGCUUCGAUGCCGAGUGAUUUCUUCGCCAACAUGAGUAAUUUGAUUGAUGUGAGUAUUGGUUAUAACCCUUUUCCUCAAUGGCAAAUUCCUUCUAGUCUUAAGAAUUGUUUGGCCCUUCAGACAUUUUCUGCUAUAAAUGCUAGUUUUGUUGGUAUAAUCCCUGAAUUCUUUGGAAAAGAAACUUUUCCAGCUUUAACUGAUUUGUCUCUGUCUUUCAAUUCUCUUGAAGGGAAUUUGCCUAAUAGUUUAUCUGGUAGUUCUAUAUUGAAUCUUUGGGUAAAUGGUCAAAAGAGUAAUAAUAAACUCAAUGGCACACUUUCUGUUUUGCAAAAUAUGACAUCGUUGAAACAAAUUUGGGUUCAUGGUAAUUCGUUUACUGGUCCAAUACCUGAUUUAUCGAAUCAUGAUCAAUUGUUUGAUGUUAGUUUGAGAGAUAAUCAGUUAACCGGUGUUGUUCCACCGUCUUUAACUUCGCUUCAAAGUUUAACAGUUGUUAAUUUGACAAACAAUUAUCUUCAAGGGUCAGUUCCGAAGUUUCAAAAUAGUGUUCGUGUUGAUAAUGAUAUUGAUAGAGGGAUUAAUAGCUUUUGUACUAAGGUUGUUGGUCAACCAUGUAGUCCGGUUGUUAAUGCGUUGCUUUCGGUUGUUGAACCUUUUGGUUAUCCUCUUGAACUUGCUAAAAGCUGGAAAGGUAAUGACCCUUGUGGUGGUGAUAGUUGGAAAGGGAUUAUUUGUUCUGCUGGUAAUGUUUCAGUUAUCAACUUUCAAAACAUGGGUUUUUCUGGCAGUAUAUCUCCUAGUUUUGCUAGUCUUAGUUCUGUGACAAGGUUACUUCUUAGUAAUAAUCAUCUCACCGGCACUAUACCUAAGGAGCUUGCUAGUAUGCCGGCUUUGAAAGAGAUAGAUGUUUCGAGUAAUGCGUUGUAUGGUCAGAUACCAUUGUUUCGCGGAGAUGUUGUUGUUAAAACCAGUGGAAAUCCUGAUAUUGGAAAAGAUAAACCUCAUGACUCGCCCAACAGCCCUGGCUCUACUUCUGGAGGUAAAGAUAAGAAGAAAGUUAGUGUUGGAGUCAUUGUGGGGAUUGUGAUGGGAAUUGUUGGCUUUAUAAUUGCUGUAGGGGUUUUCGUAUUUAUUAUGUAUUGUAGAAGACAUAAUAAGCGUGAUGGCAAAAUUCAAACUCCGAAUGCGAUAGUGAUACAUCCUCAUCAUUCUGGAGAAGGAAAUGGUGUGAAAAUAAGUGUUGCAGCAGCUGAAAGUUCUGGUGCCGGUGUUACAGGAGGAACUGGUGGAUUUAGUCCAUCAAGGAGUGUUAAAAAUGUGGAAGCUGGUAGUAUGGUGAUUUCAAUUCAAGUGUUGAGAGAAGUUACAGACAAUUUUAGUGAAAAGAACAUAUUGGGAAAAGGCGGUUUUGCCACUGUAUACAAAGGAGAGUUGGACGAUGGAACAAAGAUUGCAGUUAAAAGGAUGAAAUCUGAAAUGGUUGGUGACCAAGGGCUGAAUGAGAUCAAGUCCGAAAUCGCGGUUCUCACUAAGGUUCGACACAGGCAUUUGGUUGCACUCCUUGGCUAUUGCUUGGACGAAAAUGAGAAACUUCUUGUCUUCGAAUACAUGCCUCAGGGAACUCUUAGUCAACAUCUCUUUGAUUGGAAAGACGACGGGUUGAAACCGCUUGGAUGGAAGAGAAGGCUUUCCAUUGCCUUAGAUGUUGCUAGAGGUGUUGAAUAUCUUCAUGGUCUGGCUCAGCAAAUUUUCAUCCACAGGGAUCUGAAACCAUCGAAUAUCUUGCUUGGAGAUGAUAUGCGUGCUAAAGUAGCCGACUUUGGAUUAGUUCGACUUGCUCCAGAAGGACAAGCUUCAUUCCAGACUAAACUUGCAGGAACCUUUGGAUAUAUGGCACCAGAGUAUGCAGGUAACACAUUUUAAUUAUAAUUUAGAAUUUUUUUUGUUGGAUAUGACUUUUUUGGUUAUAAUGUUAGUGUCAGCUUGGCUGAACUGCAGACAGUGUGAAUUUAGUUUGCAUAAACAAUUUUUUGCCGCAAUCUCAAAUACUAUGCCUUUUUUAUCAAAUUUUGUCAGUAAUUAUGGUUUUAGCUUGUACAAUCGUUCACUGUGUUUAUAUAGUGAUAAAGGCUGAUUAAAACUUGUCUAUACCUAGUGAAAUUAAGAUUCAGAUGAGGAAGAACCGAAGAAACAAUGAAUUAUCCUUUUUGUGAUUGUAACAGCUACUUCAUACAUAACAAGUUAUGAUGGUAACUAUACAUUGCAUAUACAUUAUUUCUUUUUGACUGAUAGCAUGUCCACACAUAACAGGGUAUAUAGUGUUACUAACAAAAUUCUGUUAAAGCAGAACGGUAUAAUAAGUUCACAAUCAAAUUUAUAACAACGUUUAAAUUUUCAUUUUAUUUAAGGCUAAGGGCUUGUCUGAGCCUGUGACAAUCAAGAAAGUAACCAAAACCAUAAACCAUGUUUUUCAAAGUAGCCUCAUGAAAAUCUAUAUCAGAUGUGGUAGUGGCAUUACCGGAGAAGAACACCCUGAAGCCUCUCAUAAAGGCCUCACAAAUUAGUCAUAUCGCCCGUCACUAUAAUAGUCACAUAUACCAUAUAGAAAUGAUUUAUAACGAUGGUGAAAAUUUGUUUUAUUAAAUGUACUAGUCUAAGAAAAAGACUGACGUUUGAUUAUAAUGAAGAGUUAUGUUGAGUCUGCUGAAAAACAAUCUGAAUGAGUGUGAUAGAUGAGAAAAAAUACUACAAAAGUGAUUUUUAUGAUUGCAAAGAAACACAAACAAAUAUAUGCAUUGCAAAAAAAUCUCUUUAUGGCAUUCAAAUUUAUUACAAUUUUAAAUCACUUUUUUUAUUGGGUCACUGUUUAGUAUUUCCCUUUUUUAUUUCUAAACAAACUGUCCCUUAUCACUUUCUUGUUCGAUUCCCUAAUUUAUUAAAAUGUUAUGAUAUGUCACAGUCACUGGCCGAGUCACCACAAAGGUAGACGUAUACAGCUAUGGUGUGAUUCUUAUGGAGAUGAUAACCGGAAAGAAGGCAAUUGAUAAUAGCCGACAAGAUGAGAAUAUCCACCUUGUUACAUGGUUCCGCAGGAUGCUACUGAACAAAGACUCAUUUGAAAAGGUCAUUGAUCCAGCAAUGGACAUCGACGAGGAAGGCUUGGAGAGUUUCAGGACUAUUGCAGGAUUGGCUAGCCACUGUUGUGCAAGGGAGCCUAAUCAGCGUCCUGACAUGGGACACGUAGUGAAUGUGCUAGCACCCCUUGUCGAGAUUUGGAAGCCGGCUGAACCUGAUGUUGAUGAUAUAUAUGGGAUUGACUUGGAUAUGAGUUUGCCUCAAGCACUGAUUAAGUGGCAGAAUCAUGAAGGAAUGAGCAACACACUUGAUGUUUCGUAUACUUCGUCAAUGGCUGCUAGUUGUGAGAAUACACAGUCAAGUAUACCACCUAGGUCUCCUGGAUUUGCAGAUUCCUUUACAUCUAAUGAUGCAAGAUAAAGUUUGAUAUGUAUGUAUGCAAAUGUUAACAUGUGCCCUUAUGGUACAUGUUAAGGAACUCAAUAUAGGAUAUUCAUCUUAAACAUUUUUAUAGUCAAAAGAUGUUUUUUUUUUUUUUUUUUCGAUGCAAAAUUAGGACAACCCUUGUAAUACUACCCUUAUGGCUAUGAUGGUUGAGUUUCCAUACUACCCUUGGUUUUUUACUACUAUUGCUACCUUUUACUACUUUCUGCAUUUUAUUUAACUUUUUGGUAAUAACGAAAAAAUAUGAUUAUUUCAAAAUAUCUAUGUCAAAACUUAUAUCAUAAUAAUAAUAAAAAAAAUUAAACAUUUUCUAUUUUGAUGCAAAAGACCAGUGUUACAUAAAGUACAAACUAAAGUAGUAUAUAUCUUUUUUAAAAUGCAAAAGUAUGAUUCAGAUCACUCCCACUUCUUUAAGUUGUCUAAAUCUCUUAAAACUGAUUUUGUUAGAAAUAGAAAAUUGAUGAUAAAAGAGUUUUCUAGUGUUAAUUGAUAAAACCAGGACACGAUUACAUUGGUGAUUCUAACUACUGUAAAUCACUCGACAAUGCUUGGAUGCUGGUAAUUCUGAAAAAGUGGCAAAUGCAUAUACUUUGAAGGUGGCGUGGGAUGUUCUUGUGAAGAAUUACGUGGGUGGAGCCAAAUUGAAUAAAGUAAAGCUUCAAUUCCAACGUGCCAGUACAAUACUUGGAUUGAUGGCCAUUACUAAUCAAAUGAAGAAUUGUGAAGAGACUGUAUCUGAUCAAAUGGGGGUUGAAAAGGUACUUAGAAUUGGUAGCAAUAUAAGAAACUAAGGACAUUAGUGAAAAUGAUUGUAGAAGAGCUUCAAAGUUCUUUAGAGGCUCAUGUGCUCAGGGUAAUUGGCAGAGGUGCUGAGAGGAAAGUAGAUCAAGCCUUACAAGGAGUUCUUUGGAUGUGGCUCGAUGUUGGGGAUGAGGAUUGAGUUCUCUUUUACAAGAUGUUCUUUUGGGGUGAGUGGUGGCAAAGAGUGUUAUGGAUGUUGUUUUUUAGUGGUCGGUAAGUUUAGGAAUCAGUUUUAGGAGAUGAUGUUUAUUUUGAUGGGUGUUGAUCGCAGGAAUGUAUUUGUUGGGAUUUGUUUUUGGGUGUUCCGCUUUUAUACGACGCCUUUAGUUUGUACUUUCUGUAACACAGGUCUUUGUUCGUCUUGUGCAGAGACCUGAUUUUUAAUAAAAUUUUGCUGAUUAAAAAAAAACCUUACAAGCUCAUGUGUCUAAAAAGAAUUUUCAUGAUAGUAAGAAAAGAAAUUUUGUAAAUGGGAAGUUUAACAAGAACAGGUCUUGUAACAAAGAUAAAGGAAGGUUGGUUCAUGAUAAACCUAAAACUUAAAAGAAAGGUAGAGGAUCUAAUGUCAAUCAAGAAAAGAAAAAGAAAUGGAGGUCCUUCAUAACUGAUUGGAUCAAGGGGUGUGACUGUUUAAGAAAAAUCGACAGAACUAAAAACUCAAACCAAACCAAAAAAUUACUCGACCUUCUCUAGUUUGGUUUAAAACUGAACUGAAUUGAUUUAGUUUGAUUUUUGUUAUUCAUUUUGAUAUCCAUUGAACCGACACAAAUAUCACCCCCAAAUUUUACUAACUAUCUCUCUAACACCCUUACUCACACUUAACUUAAGCUGAACAUUUUAUGAUUUUUUACUCAUCGGUCCAAUGCUCAUCAGUCCAAUUCGAUUAGUCAUCACGAUUCAUUAGUCAAGUUCUUCACUCACCCAAAAAAAAAAACCUCAAUCAUCGCUCACCUCAUCGGUGCUAAUAUGUCAUUGAUGGAUAAUUUGGUAAGUGUACCAAAUUGUAUAAGUAAUAAAUUAGUAUGUAAAUUGUCUCCACAUGGAUUGUUGCUUCUACUUGACGAUUAAAUAAUGCUUAAUUAAAACAUUAAAUAGGGGGAGUUUCAAGAGUUGGUUGCAAUUGAAAAUUAAAUAAAGAAUUUGAUCAGAAUGAUGAAAGACGGUUAAGAUUGUCUGAAUCCUCUCUAUGUUCUUGUUAGGUGAUACUAGUUCUUAAGUCAAUAUUAAUUUAAUAUCUAUGUUCACGACAUUUACAAAAUAUACCGAGACCAGUUUCUUGGUUCAAGGUCUUGUUCAUCUAAUAUAGAACCCUAAUGUCUUAGGUUAAACUCAUAUUAUAAAAAUCUUUGUUGAUCGUUAAACAAUAGCCACAAAACAUAGCAUAUUGAAAGAAUGGAAAUUUAUCAGUAAAGCAUGUAAACAUGUACCUGUCAUUGUUGAAUCUAUCGAUUCUUCUUAAACGGUUGAUAGAGAAGUUGUAACUGCCUUCUUGUGCCAUCAUAGUUUGUCUUGUCAAACAGUGAUAAAUACUCACAUUUCUUGGCUUUGUCAAAGCGGGUGAACUUUUCACCAAUGGACUUCAGAAAUCUUUAGCAUUGUCACUUUCUGAAAUGCUUUGCCUAAUGGAUUCUCAAUGGUAUAAGUUAUGAUCUUAAGACACACCCUAUUAGAAGUUUCCUACUUUUCAUAAAGGGCUUUAUAGGAAUCUGUAGAUGCAUUGGUAAGGGCAACAUGCUUGUCAGUUUUUAAGGAUAAGUCAAAAUUAUUAAUAACUAAGUAGUGAUUUAGAGAAUCUUUCCAGUCCUCAUAGUUAAUCCCAUUCAGAGUUUUCACAGAGCUAGGAAAAGAGUCUGUCAUUGAACAAUAAGGAAUCAUCAAAAAUAUUAUGCAAAAAAUGAUUCCACAUAUAUGUAGCCAAAAGUAUCCUUAUGAAAAAACUCUACAUCAUUAUGAUCUUACAUCCCAAAGUACAAUAAUAACCAAAACUUAUAACACAAAAUUCCAACAUCGAUAGGAUAUUGGAAUAUAAUAAGCAUAAAUGAAACAAGAUAUUGUACCAUAAUAAUUACACAAAUAAUAAUACAUCGAUAGGAUGUAAUUAUUAUUAAUAUAAUAUAGCUCAUAAUUACUAAUAAACAAAAUUUACAUCCAUAAUAAUACACCAAUAGGAUGUAAUUACUACUAAUAUAAACAAUUAAUUUUUACGGAAUUUGUAUCAAUAAUAAUACAACGAUAUGAUGUAAUUACUAAUGUAAAUAAUUGACUUCGUUAAUAAAUUGAUUCUACAAUAAAAAACAAAAUUCACAUAGUUGGUCUUACCAUGGGUGAGAUUACAACUACACAAACAAACAACUUAUACUUAUACAAAAUUCAGAUAAACAAUAUUACAUCGAUAUGAUGUAAUUACUAUUAGUAUGAAUAUUAAUAGCUACCAAAUAAUUAUCAAUUAUGCAAAUGGCCCAAAUCAGCUUAAGCAAUAAAACAAAUAAUGAGCCAGUCCAAAAAAGUGACCCAAAAGGCCCUGAAAAAAAUUGAGGGACCUACAAAUAGAGCUAGUGUGUGCGUCACACACGCAGACUCGAUUUGAGUCGUCCACAACAAAUAAACACGUGGUUGGAGUUUUUUUUUUAUUUUUUAAAUCACCUUUCUCACACAUAUGUCACAUAAACGGGUCAAAACGACCCGUGAUUAUAUCCAGAUGAAUCUACAGUUUCAGUCAUUGAAAAUCAACGGUUUUUACAGGGUUUUGAUCGCGAGACAAUAACAAACAAUUUCCCAAAAUCAAUUUCAUGAAAAACGUUGAACCAAAUCAAUUUGUAAAUCAAUUUUAUUUUAUUUUGCAUGGAUGAACAAAAUCAAUUUUCAUGAAAAAACAGAUAUCACAAACAGGGAAAGCUUAUCCAUGGUAUAAAAUAAUAUUUGUUGAAAACAUGUUUUCUUGAUCAUGUAUCCAAAUAAUUAUCAAAAAAGGAACUGUAAAAAAAAUAGAAAUCGUAUGCACAUGGAUAAUAGAAAAUUGGAAUCACAUGCAUCCAACAUAUAUAAACAUAAUCGUACAAUAAAAAUUAGUAAUAUUCAUGCAAUCGUUACAUUCAAAACAAUAACCAUACAAUGUGUCUAAUUGGCUUUGAUACCAAUUGAAGUAAAUUGUGAUCUUUUAAGCAAUUAUAGACACAAAACAUAGCAUAUUGAAUGAAUGCAAAUUUAUCAUUAAAGCAUGUAAACAUACUUGUCAUUGUUGGAUCCAUUGAUUCUUCAUAAACGGUUGAUAGAGAAGUUGUAAUUGCCCUCUUGCUGAUGGAAUAACGACAUAAUGAUAACUGACCUAAUGAGAUAGUCAGGUUAUAUAUCCAUCAGAUGAGGGUAGAGACCUCUCAACAGGCUAUCAGUAAGAAUGGCCCAACCCAUCACGGGUUAUUCUCAAUUAAGCCCAAGACAAAUAUUUAUUAUAUUUAUUUAACCAAGUGCAUUAACAAUUAAUAAUAAUUGAUUUUUAUUUUACUAGCAAAAAGACGGGAACUCACGUGCCGUCUUUCCGCUCUUUUUAUUGCGUUAACGUUUGAAAAUUAUGAACGGUGUUUUUUUAAUGAAAUUUUAAUUUAGAUUAAAACUAAAAAAAAUAUAUAAAUGUUUGUUGCUUUCAAGUUAUAAAAAAUCAAACCAACCAUGAUUAUCUAUUUCAACGACAUCGACAAUAAUACAAUAUAACAAAAAAAUAUAAUCUAAAUUCUUUUCUUAGUGACACCAACAACAAUUUUAUUAUAGAAAAAGUUGAUUAAAGGUAUAAUUAGAAUAGAUAUAUCAACGUAAUUAAAGUUAUCCAUAAAUUCCAACAUACUAAAUUGUACAAGUUAUAAAGUAGCAUGUAAAUCGUCUCUAUAACACUUUAAACCCUUUAACACAAUAAAUCAUGCAAAUAAUACAUUAUUCAAAAGAGUUUAAAUGUUACAUCUUCAAUUAUCUAAAAACAUACAUAACUAUGCUUUCAAAAGCUCGCAGCGGAAAAUCAUCAUACAAAAUAUCUCGACAACAAAUAAAAUCUCAACAACCAUGUGUCAUAAUACAUCACUAAAUAAAUCUCAAAUCUCAUGCAUAAGUGAGCAACAAGUCUCAAAAAGGCAUAAAUAAAUAAGUCCGACACCUUAAUCAGAGUCCUAAACUAGACCCCGAGCAAAAAGAAAAGAGGUAGCUCCAAAGCUAGUCCUCAAGCAACUCACAAGCAAUAAGAGAGUCAGUCUUGUAUGUCGUCUACCCAUUAAUACAAAUAGGCAGGGGGUCAACCAAACGACCACUAGGGGUUAGAUUAUAUUCCACAUAAUAAACAUAUAAUCCAAUAAAUGCAUAACAACAUAUUCAUUUUUCAUUGUUCAAUAAAUAACUCUUAAUCAAAUCAUACAACAUCGAAUCAACACAUCAACAUUAUUAUACAAGUGUACAAGCAUAAUCAAACAACAUAUACAAGUUCACAUUUCCACAUAGUCACAACCAGUGGUGGAGCCAGGAAUUUUAUAGAGCCUGAGCAAUUAUCGCAAAUUCGCAUGUAACAUAAUAUAUAUAAAUAGUCAUAAAUUGAAAUAAAAAAGGUUCGUCAUUUUUUUUUAACAAAAGUACAAUUUGAAAUAAGAUAGAUGAAAUAUAACCUACCAAUAGUGUGCUAAAUAAAAUUAGGAGGUAAAUGUCCUUUCAGAGACCUAUUUGCGUGCUAAAUAUAGUGGAACGGAGAAGGAAUGAAAAUGGAGGCAGACUGAGAGUUGAGAGAGGGUGAGGCGCAAGUUGAGAUAGGGAGAGGCAAAUGAAAGUGAAACACGACUAAGAGACUGAGAAUUGAGAGGUCAGCCGCGAGUUGAGAGAAGGAGAAGCAGAGCAGAUUAUAUGCGCCUCAAAGCAAAGAGUUUUCUAUCAAUUUUUUUUUUACUAUUAAUUUUCUCACCCUAUCUCAAUCUCGUGUGCCCUGUAAAUUUUCUAAAAAUGCCCCUGUGAUUUUUAGAUUUUAAAAUCCGAACUAUGUUUUUCCUUUGUUAUUGGGUGAAAAUAAAGAGUUUUUCACCAAUUCGGAUUUUAUAAUCCGAAAACCUCAAAAACACCAUAUGUUUCCGAUUUAUGGAAUCCGAACAUGCCCUAAACACCCUAUUUCAAUUCUGAACAUGCUUAUAACAUGUAUAAUCAUUUUAAGGAGCAUAUUAAUCUUCCUUACUAUCACCCUCCUGUUUUAGGUCAUUGUUAGCUAUUCCCAUUAAAAAAAAUGAUAUUUGGGGUACUUGAUCCGAUUGUACCGAAACUUUCACAGAAAAUCAGAAGAAGAAAAAAAUCAAGGAUCAAGACUCAUUUUUCAUAUCUAAGAAAAAUUCGAAAAAAAUUUGCAUUAGUUUUAUUUGAUUUUUAGAAAUUUUUGGUGGUAUUUUUAUAUUUUUAUGAUUUUAUUUGAUAGGUUUUUAGCUUUUUUUACUUUGUUUUUUGGUUGUUUUUAAAAGCAAAAUUCAUAAUUGCGGAAAUGGAAGAGAUUCUGAUUGCUGAUUAUACAUAAGCAUAUUUCAGAUUUUAUAAUCCGAAUUAGCGAAAAAUUAUUUUGGAUUUUAAAAUCCGAAUUACUCAUAGGCAUUUUUGUAAAACAUACUGGGCGCGCGAGAAAUGGGUAGGUGGAAAAGGUAAUAGUCGUUUUUAUUUAAGUGGUUAAUGGGCUAUUGGGUUGGACUUGCUACAAAGAAAAUGAGUGUUGAUCCCGGGCUAGUGUCAAGGCUAGCUGGGGGGUGUAUCCGCCCAUGGUCACAACGUUGACCAAGUUUCACCAAUGCACAUAAUCACCAAAUCACAUAGUCAAGUACGACACAUUUCACCAAUCUCAAGUGCAUGCAAUAUUCUAGACACUUCUACAUGCAUGUGGUACCAAUUGAAUUUGGGAGAUAAUUUUACCGUAUGAAUCCACCAACGUAACGAACACCGGAAACUACUGAUGACAGAUCAUCUUACGUUAUUCUUAGCAUAUUUUUCAGUUAUUUUUAGUAGGUUUUAUGUGUAAAGCAUUAAGCACAAGGUAUAAUGAACAAAUUUAGUUCAAAUUGCAUUAAUAUAAGAUAUCAUAGAUUACAUGGUUCAAACAAUAUUAUAUAUGUUGAUCAUUCAACCCUAAUCUAAAGUGUCUAGCUACUCAUAGAGUGACUAUGAUCUUCAAUCUUGUUUCAAAAGGGUAAAACCGCCAGUUGUGUUGCAUAGAUCGCGCCUUUAGCCUUCAAAGUUAUAAAAAUUAGAACCCUUGCUUCUCGCUUGACGCUUAGAAAAUCAAUAUAUAGGCAUAUUUUUUUAAUCACGUACGAGCGUCACAUACACCUUUAUGUACGUUAUGCUUUCCAUUUCAAAUCCAAUGUGGUCUGAACUUUAAUAUCUUCAAUGUUUUUACGUUCGUACCUUUGUAACUUCCACAAUGUGUCUUUUCCUCAAAUCAACCCAUUAACCUAUACCUAACACUAUGACACUGUAUAAAGUUGUCUGGUUAGACAAAUGCAUCGACUUACAAUGACUCAAUUUAAUAUAUUGCAUAACCUUUACCAAACUAUCAAUAACUCAUUGUAAUCCUAUAAAAAUCUAAAAAUACAUAUACUCACGAUGACUCAAUUUAAUAUAUUGCAUGACAUUUCCCAAACUAUCAAUAACUCACUGCAAUCCUCCAAAAAAUCUAAAAAUAAAAGACAAAAAGACUCGAGAAAACACUAAAAUACAUGUUAUGCCGAGUAGUAGGGGUGGGCAUGGUUUGGUUUUUGAAGAUAACUGAACCGAACCGUUUAAACGGUUCGAAAAACUGAACCAAACAGUUUGAAGUUUGCGAGUAACCAAACCGAACCAAAGUUAUGGAGUUUAGUUAACAGUUUUGUUGUCUACGAACCGAACGAAACAAAACCCAAAGUAAUAUUUUGAACCAAAAUGUGUUUUCUUAUCCUUUUGUAAACUAAAUUUUUUUUUUUUGUUCUUUUUCAUAAAUUUGAAUUAUGUGACAGGUGUUAAGAAUUUUGGUUUUCUCAAAAUUGUAUUAAGACAUUUUAUUAAUUAUAUUUAAACUAUGACCAAAUGUAUUAAUCCUUUUUAAGAAUUAAAUCACACUAUUUAUUAAUUUUUUGUGGUUUUACUAUUUGUAUUUUAGGAAUAUCAACAAAAACAUCAACAAUUCCAAUGAUAAUGCAUGAUGAAAGGGAAAAUAAAACUUCAUUGUUAAAAUAUGAAGUUUGUGUUUUGCUGAUGGUUUGGUUCGGUUUAAAAUGGUUCGAUUCGGUUCAAAACAUAUCAGUUAUGGUUCAAUAAUCGUUAUUAAAUUACCGGUUUGGUUCACAAGCUACUUAAAUGGUUCAGUUAAUUAUUAUUCGGUUCAGUUUGGUUCGUAGUUCGGUUCAGUUUUUGGAUCUUUUUAACUAGCAAACUAAUCUAAUACCAUUUCUCAUAUCACUGUAUGAUUUGAUUUUAAAAAUUUCUAUAUAAGUAGCAAGGUUAAUUAUGGUGGCUUGGAAGGAUGAAUGAUGAAAGCAGUCUAAGGUAAACAUUAAUUUGAUAUAAUAAAUUGGAAAUAAAUUAUGUUCUGCAUUCUAAUUAUGUGUAUAGUUCAUUUCAGGAUGGUGAGUUGGUGAUGCAAGUCAAUGAAGAUGUUUUUUUUUUCUUUCCUUUUUCCAAUAAGUGUGAAGAUGUUUGUAGUUGAAACUUACCUUUUUUAUCAAGUCAUUUGAGGGAACAACCAUUUUAAUCUGUAUUUGAAAUUGAUUUAGUAUCAUUUUAAGUAAACUAUCUCGUUUAUAAUAUGAGAUUUGAAGAUGUGUGUGCUAAAAUUUGUAAUUUACAAUUUAAUAUGCAAUAUGUUGUAAUUUGAGAUUAAACGCGUGCCGCGUACACCCUUAGUCCCUUACAACUGCUACGCGUGCUGUUUAAAAUCAUGCAUUGCAAUUUUUCAUCAAGACGCGUGACGCGUAACAUGUCACACGCAUAAAACAAGAUAGAGUAGUUUAGUAUGCAUAUACUCCAUCCGCUCUCAUUAUUAAAAAAAAAAAUAUAUCAAAGUCAAUUUAAAAGUAAUUGUUGUAACUUUUUUAAAUAUUUUACAAAUAUACCCUUACAUAAUAAUAUGAGAUUUAAAGUUGUGUGCUAAAAUUUGUAAUUUACAAUAUAAUAUGCAAUAUGCUGUAAUAUGAGAUUUAACGCGUGCCGCAUACACCCUUACGCCCGCGGUUUAAAAUCCAUUUUUGCAAUUUUCCAUCAAGACGCGUGACGCGCAACAUGUCACACACAUAAAACAAUAUAGAGUAUGGUUUUAGUAUGCAUGAUACGCCAUCCGCUCUUUAUUAUAAAAAAAAUAAAAAAUCAAAACCAAUAUAAUUAUUGAUUGUUAUAACUUUUUUUUAAAUAUUUUUACAAAUAUAACUCUUUAGUGUCUCUUUCUUCCUCAUUCCCCGCCAUGUAUUUAUUCCAAUUCAUUCAUCCCAUAAAAGCGUUUUUUCUUUCUUUCUCUUUCAAUUGAUUCUCCCUUAAAAACAUUCCCUUUUUCAGUCCAAUCCUUAUCAAUGCCAGCUUGAUUAAGUGUUUUUUGUUCUCAUUCUUGCUACAUUAUUCUCUGUUCUCUUACGCUACCUUCCUUUGUUUUUUUUCUCUCUUUUUCUUCUUAUUAAACCCUUCCCUCAAAACUCAUUUCCAUCAACAACAAAAAAAACUUGAGAAAAAACUUGCACAAAACACAAAAUGAGUUUUGGAGUUUCCUAUGUUCUUCACCUUGUUUUACUGUUUUUUAUGAUGUUUAUUGCUGCAUGGUCUCAAGAUGACGUUGUUAUGCAAAAGCUGAAAAGUUCUAUAACAUCAUCAAGCAAUGAUCUUGAUUGGUCAGACAAAGAUUGUUGCAAAUGGAAGGGAGUUUCAUGCAGCGGAACGACGGUCACUGAAAUUAAUUUAGGACAACUCAAUAUUCAAGGUUCUUUACCAAAAGAAUUAAUGCAACUCACUGCUUUAACUCGUUUCGAUUGCAGUGAAAAUGAGUUUUCUGGAGGUUUUCCAUACAUGCCAAAUUCACUUCAGAACUUGUAUAUCAGAAACAACAGUUUCACUUCCAUGCCUAGUGAUUUCUUCACCAACAUGAGUAAUUUGAUAGAGGUGGUAAUUGAUUCUAACCCUUUUUCUCAGUGGCAAAUUCCUUCUAGUCUUAAGAAUUGUUUAGCCCUUAAGCUUUUUUCUGCUAAUAGUGCUGGUUUAGUUGGUGUAAUCCCUGAAUUCUUUGGAAAUGACACUUUUCCAAGUUUGACAGAUUUGAAGGUGUCUUUUAAUUCUCUUGGAGGUAAUUUGCCUAAUAGUUUAUCUGGUAGUUCUAUAGAGAACCUUUGGGUGAAUAAUCAAAAUGGUAAUAAACUCAAUGGUACACUUUCUGUUUUGCAAAAUAUGACGUCGUUGAAAGUAAUUUGGGUUCAAAGUAAUGCUUUUACUGGUCCAAUACCAGAUUUUUCAAAUCAUGAUCAAUUGUCUGAAGUUAGUUUCAGAGAUAAUCAGUUAACCGGUGUUGUUCCGCAGUCUUUAAUUUCGCUUCAAAGUUUGAAAGCUGUGGCUUUGACGAACAAUCGUCUUCAAGGGUCACCUCCUAAGUUUAAAGAUGAUGUUAAGGUUGAUAAUGAUAUGGAUAAAGGGAUUAAUAGCUUUUGUACUAAGGUUGUUGGUCAACCAUGUAGUCCACUUGUUAAUGCUUUGCUUUCUGUUGUUGAACCUUUUGGUUAUCCUCUUAAACUUGCUCAAAGUUGGCAAGGUAAUGACCCUUGUCAAGGUGGUUGGUUAGGGAUUGUUUGUUCUAGUGGGAACAUUUCAGUUAUCGCCUUCGAGAAAAUGGGUUUUUCCGGUAGUAUAUCAUCUAGUUUUGCAAGUCUUAGUUCUGUGACGAAGUUGCUUCUUGAUAACAAUCAUCUCACCGGCACUAUACCUAAGGAGCUUGCUAGUAUGCCGGCUUUGAAAGAGCUAGAUGUUUCGAAUAAUGCAUUGUAUGGUCAGAUACCAUCGUUUCGCGGAGAUGUGGUUGUUAAAACCGGUGGAAAUCCUGAUAUUGGAAAGGACAAACCUCCUGGCUCGCCCGGCUCUAGUUCUGGAGGUGAAUAUAAGAAGAAAAUUAGUGUUGGAGCAAUUGUUGGGAUUGUGAUGGGGAUUGUUUGUUUACUUGGUGUAGUAGGGGUUUUGGUAUUUGUUAUGCGCGGUAGAAGACAUAAUAAGUGUGCUGGUAAAGUUCAAACUCCAAAUGCAAUAGUGGUACAUCCUCGUCAUUCAGGUGAUGGAAAUGGCGUGAAAAUAAGUGUUGCAGCAGCCGGAAGUUCCAGUGUCGGCGUUGCACGAGGAACUGGUGGAUUUAGUCCAUCGAGUAGUGUUCGAAAUGUGGAAGCUGGUAAUAUGGUGAUUUCAAUUCAAGUUCUAAGAGAAGUUACAAACAAUUUUAGUGAAAAAAACAUAUUGGGGAAAGGUGGUUUCGCUACUGUAUACAAAGGAGAAUUGGACGAUGGAACAAAGAUUGCAGUGAAAAGGAUGAAAUCUGAAAUGGUUGGUGACGAAGGGUUAAAUGAGAUCAAGUCUGAAAUCGCGGUUCUCACUAGGGUUCGACACAGGCAUUUGGUUGCACUCCAUGGCUAUUGCUUGGACGACAACGAGAAACUUCUUGUCUUUGAAUACAUGCCUCAGGGAACUCUUAGUCAACAUAUCUUUGACUGGAAAGACGAUGGGUCGAAACCGCUCGGAUGGAAAUGUAGGCUUUCCAUUGCCUUGGAUGUUGCUAGAGGUGUUGAAUAUCUUCAUGGUCUGGCUCAGCAAAUUUUCAUCCACAGGGAUCUGAAGCCAUCAAAUAUCUUGCUUGGAGAUGAUAUGCGCGCUAAAGUAGCCGACUUUGGAUUAGUUCGGCUUGCUCCAGAAGGACAAACUUCAUUUGCGACUAGACUUGCAGGAACUUUUGGUUAUUUGGCACCAGAGUAUGCAGGUAAUCACAUGUUAAUUAUAAUUUAGAAUAAUUUUUGUUGCAUUACUGUUUUUUAUUGCACAUGUUAAUUGUGUAGGUUUCUACUUUAGUCUCAGAUGAACUAUAGAGUAUAGAGACAAAUUUUUGCAACAUUCUCAAAUACUAUGCUUUUUAUUUUUAUUUUUAUUUUUUUUUAUCAAAUUUUAUCUUGAAAGAACUGUAUUGAGAAAACAGGCAAACAUGAUUCAUAUUGUUCGUGUGAUUCUCUGUCUCUGUGUGUCUAUAUUUUGUUGUUAAAUGUUAUAUAAAUUCUAGCAUAUUUGUAAUUUUUCUCCUUUCUUGUUCAACUCGCUAACUAGUUUAAAUGGUAUGAUAUGUCACAGUCACCGGUCGAGUCACCACAAAGGUAGACGUAUACAGCUAUGGCGUGAUUCUUAUGGAGAUGAUAACCGGAAGAAAAGUAAUUGAGAACAGCCAAUCGGACGAGAACAUACACCUCGUUACAUGGUUCCGAAGGAUGCUACUAAACAAAGACUCAUUCGAAAAGGUCAUUGAUCCAGCAAUGGACAUAGACGAGGAAGGCCUGGAGAGUUUCAGGACUAUGGCAGGAUUGGCAAGCCAAUGUUGUGCAAGGGAGCCUCAUCAGCGUCCUGACAUGGGACAUGUAGUGAAUGUGCUAGCACCUCUUGUCGAGAUUUGGAAGCCGGCUGAACCUGAAGCUGAUGACAUGUAUGGGAUUGACUUGGAUAUAAGUUUUCCUCAAGGACUUAGUAAGUGGCCGAAUCUUGAAGGAACGAGCAACACACUUGAUGUUUCGAAAUCUUCUUCGAUGGCUGCUGGUUGUGAGUAUACACAGUCAAGUAUCCCUCCUCGGUCUCCUGGAUUUGCCAAUUCUUUUACAUCUGCUGAUGCGCGAUGAAAUUUGAUGUACAUUAUUUAAUUAUUUCCGCUUUUGCCAACCGUUUGGAGUUUCCUUUCAAGUUUGUUUCAUGACAUAUAUUACACCCUAAUUGAUUCUUUUAACUUGUCCUUUUUUAUUUGUCUUUUUUCUAGAGUUUUUUCAAAUUCCUAGUACUUAAGAAACAAUUAAACUUUUUAGUUCUAUUGAUCAAGAAAAAUAGGACUUAGUUACUCAUAUCAAAUGUUAUUUUACUAUUUUUCUACUUUUUUUUCCUCUGGCAAGUUUUUUGCUAAAGUAUGGAAUGAGUUUUGUUAUUGGACCACCAAAAGAAGUAUCAAUCCACACCCUCAACAUAUUGGUGAACUAUCCUCAACAUAUUGUUGAACUAUCCCGGACCUUGCAUACAUCAUGCAUUGUCCCUACCAACUCACGAGGACUUUGUUUAACUCCCUAUAAACAACACACACACAAACUCAGCAUUUUUUUUCAUUUAAAUAUGGAUAUUUUUUGAACGGAAAUAUUAGUACUGAACUGUUUUUAUGGUCACACUCUAUUAAUUGUUGGAAAAUGCUUAAGGGAUAGUAGCCUAUUUCUGUAUCUUUGAUGAACUUGAGCAUUUGAUGGCCAUGUAUUUUCCGAGAAUUUCUUAUCACUCCCACUUUUCUCGCACCAUCUACGGAAUUCUCAUUUUGUCUCGUUUAGGUUAUACAAACCGAAGUGUAUUUAUGAAAUUUGGGGACAUUGAAUCUAAAUUCUAUCAUAACACAUAAGACCAAGUAUUUUGCCAAUCAAUAAACAAAAUAGUGUUGAGGAAUGCUAGCAACAUUCACUUUUGAACACUCUCUAACACUGGAAUGAACAUUACUCAUCAAAUAUUUUCUUGCCACCUCUUCUUCUAUUGUUAUUUCCACUUAUAUAUUUCCAUUAAAACGACCAGGAUUGCUAUUAAUGUUCUCCGGUUUUCAAGAACUGCUUUCACUUUGUGAGUCUCUUCCAUUUGAAUUGUCAACAGUCACACAUUUAUAAAUAAUGAACAAAGCCUUGUAAUCUUUCUUCUUCUCUUUAUGCGCAACUUUUUUUCAUCAGUGGCACGAUCACCAAUGGGUUAUAUUCCAUUCUGCACCAAAUCCCAUAAAUCUUGGAAACCAAACACCACAUUCAUUUGUUUGCUCCGGUUGUCAUAAUUCUUCCCAUUGAGAAUUGGAAGGUUUUGCAGGAAAGUUUCCAUCUGUAUGUGUCGUGCCAUUGACGACUCUUUUCACUUAGAACUAGGCUCUUGAUGCCAGAUGUUUGAAAUUGAACUGCUUACUUAGUUCACACACACACGCACACAUACACGCAUUCGCGCGCACGCAUGCAUAUGCGCCCAUACACAUCUUCUUAAUUAACCCGAUCUUUAUGUAGACAAAUACUAUAAUGAACUUAUAUUAGUAAUUGAGUCUUGCUAACAAGUACCCCUUAGGGCAUUGUUUAAGGAAUCCAUUAAAAGAAAUUUUAUCUUGACCUCUUCGCGUAGUAGAGAUUCAUGACCUCUGCUGCAUGGUUCCAUUUUAAGUCGGGUAAGAAACAUGCUCCAUUUGGUUGUCCAUUAGCUGCAAAAAUUCAAAAUCAAAAUAACAAAUUAUAUAGACUCAAGAAUGAGAUCAUAAUAUAAACUAGAUAGCUAAUGAAUAUGAAUAGUAGAAAAAUUUAAUAAAUUAAUUAAGUACCUCCUGCUGCUAGCAUCUUAAUAAGAAAGAUCAUAAUUGAGCAAGAGUAUUUGAAGAACUUCAUAGGGAGAUUCCUAUAGCAAUUUUUAUCUUAAGAAACUAAAUGGUUGGUGAUAAGAUAAUGUUGAGUGAGUGAAUUAGGAGGCAGGCAAGCACAUUAUAUAUAUAGCAUGAAUGAACGUGUAUACAAUUUAAACAUUCAUUCAUCACUUUUCUUAAGUGUAUGGAAUUGACACCUUUCUAAAGAAAAUGGUUGCCGUUUUUCUCUCUAAUUUUACCAUUUACAAAAUUUACUUAACCAUUAAGUAGUAUAGUAAUUUGUAUAUUUGCAACCAAUGUAAUUAUCAGUAAAUUGGUCAGUGCAUAUUCUAAAUAAACCAUGUUAAUGAAUUCAAGCACUCUAUGAAGAAGUUUGAUAUGACUGAUCUGGGCAAAAUGAUGAACUUUCUGGGUGUUGAAAUUAAGCAGGACUGAACAACGAUGGAAUAUUCAUUUAUCAUCAAAAAUAUGCUAAAGAUAUCCUGCAAAGACAUGGCAUGGAAAGCUGCAACUUAGUGUGCAAUCCCAUAGUGCCUAGCUGCAAGUUGGCUAAAGAUCAGUUUAGAAAAGGAGCGGACUCGACAACACACAAGCAAAUGGAACAAUGUCUCAUGUAUUUUCUUGCAACCAGGCCUGAUCUUGCAUAUUCAGCGUGCUUGAUUGCAAGAUACAUGGAAAGACCAACUGAAAUUCACAUGGCAGCCGUGAAGAGAAUUCUGAGAUACUUGAAAGGAAAAACUAGCUAUGGUUUGAUGAUGUAUAAGAAGGGAAAAAGAGAAGAACUUAUGACCAAGCCUUUGAGUUUAGAAACAUUCUCCAGAUUGAGAGACAAGCUUGGACUGUGCAAACUGGAAUUGCUAAAUAGACUUGUUAUAAGUUCAGUUUAGGGGAGGAUAUGUUAGGAAGUAUUAACUUUGUCCGUUGUUAGUUAAUUGUUAGUUGAAUCAUUCUGUUUGUUAGUUAGUUUGGUAAUGGUAGAUGGCUUGCAUCACAAGCAAGUUAGUUAGAUGGUAGUUUCUCUUGUACAAUAAGCCUAUAUAAGGCAUUACUUGAUCAGUAAUAUUCAGUUGAACCCUUUCACCAAAAUCUCCUUUCUACCUUCUUAUUCUAAACCCUCAAAAUUAUAGGAGAAAUUCGUUAAUUUCUCACCCUCAUUUCUUUGUUAGUAAAGAAAUGGGAGUGAAAGUAGUGAUAAAAGAAGAAAUUCGUUGAUUUCUCACCCUAAAGCUGAUAAAUUUAACUACAAUGUUGUCAGCAAUGAUUAAGAACGUUUGGCUUUGUAUGGUAGUUGCAUGGUCAUCCAAGUAAAAUCUCAUGAAAAGGUCUUCAUUGAUUGAGUGAAGAAUGAUUAGAAUGCUUCUACAAUGAUAUUGAUCCAGCUUAUAUAGGAUCUGAAUCAGUGAUGUGAACAGAAAUAAUUAUCUAAUUAAAAGUAACAUCUAACUGAAUUUCUUUCUAACUAAUUAUGGUUAACUGUAACCAAAUUCCUUCAACUUAAAAAAAGAGUUUGGUCUAGCUAGAAUAAUAUCAUCGACAUAAAAAAAUAAGACAACUAACGAGGACUCAGAACCUGAAGUGAAAAGAGAGUAAACAUUUUUAGAGUACAUAAAACCAUGUGUCACCAAGGAGGUGGAAAAUUUGAAAAACCACUGUCAUGAAGCUUGUCUAAGUCCAUAUAAAGACCUGUUCAAUUUUCAAACUAAGCUCUUAUGAGGAGGGUGAUAUCCCAAGGGAAGAGUCGUAUAAACUUUUUAAGAGAGCUCACCAUUAAGAAAAACAUUUUUGAUAUCUAGUUGCAAUAAAUGACAUUGUUUUGCUACAAGAACAGUGAACAAUACAUAUAUAGAGUAAGUUUGGAACAGGAGAAAAUGUAUCAGAAAAAUUAAUAUCAUCCAUUUGAAUGUAGCCUUUAGCUACUAGUCGAGCUUUGUGUCAAUCAACAUUUGCCGUCAGACUUAAAUUUCACCAUGUAAAACCAUUUGAUGCCAACAAUGUUUUCUAGGUGGAAGUGGUCCAAGAGACCAUGUAUUGUUUGUUUCCAAAGCCUUGAUUUCCUCAUUCAAUUCCUUCCUUAAUUCAGGAUAUCAGUUCUUUGCGUUAAAAUUCAGGUUGAAAAAUAGAAUUUACUGCACAGAUAAAGGCAUUGUAGGAUGGAUUGUGUUUGGAAUAUGACCAGAAGUUUUGUAUAGGAUAAAUGGAGGAUUGAGAGGCCAGAUUUUAAUCACUCAAGUAAGAGGUGGAUAGGAAAUUAUCCUGAAUUAAUUUUUUUUUUGUUGAAAAAGACAAUAGAAAAUUGAUUCACUUAGUAAUUGAAUAACAAACAUCAAAUUAGUAUAAAAUUGGGGGAUGUAUAAUAUAUUUUGUAGAAGAAAAUUAGGGGACAAUCUAAUAGUUCCAACUGCUGCAAUCGAAACAAACAUCGUAUUUAUGAGUGACUUUUUGACAAUAAUGAAAUAACACACAAGUUAGUCUAAGAGAAUCCCCUAAUCUCAAUCCCCUAAAUUGUAUACUCGACCGUGUAUUCUCAAAAUUCAUCGUGCAUCAGAAGAUGUAAAGGAAUCAACAAAUCCAGGAGACUGGGGUGGUAUACUCGACUGCGUAUUCUCAGAACUAGCAGCCUUCGACGAACAAUACGAAACAUCGAGUGUGUUGCUCAUUCCUUCAAGAUUCUGCAACUUACUCGGUGCUUGAGGCAAACCCAUAUACAAGUCAAUCCCAUACAUGUCAUCAGCAUUAGGUUCAGCCGGCUUCCAAAUCUCAACAAGAGGUGCUAACACAUUCACUACGUAUCCCAUAUCGGGACGCUGAUGAGGCUCCCUUGCACAGCAGUGGCUUGCCAAUUCUGAAAUGAUCCUGAAACUCUCCAAGCCUUCCUCGUUGAUGUCCAUUGCUGGAUCAAUGACCUUUUCGUACGAGCCUUUGUUAAGUAUAAUUCUGCGGAACCAAGUAACAAGGUGGAUGUUCUCGUCUGGUUGGUUGUUGUCGAUUACUCUCUUUCCGGUUAUCAUCUCCAUAAGAAUCACGCCAUAGCUGUACACGUCUAACUUUGUGGUGACUCGGCCGGUGACUGUGACAUAUCAUACCAUUUUAACGAGUUAGGGAAAUGAACAAGAACGGAGAAGAAUUACCAAUAUGCUAGGAUGCGAGUUGCUACACAUAGGUACAGGGCAUGUCAUGAAAAAUAUAAGAUGCUAGCACCAAAAAUUCUUUCUAAUCGACUAAAAACUAAAUAUCAAUUGGCGAAGUAGAGGGAAGAUCACAAGGUAUGCAAAUUGGCUGUAGAUGACAAGGGCCUGUUUGUUUACGAAUGAAAAAAAAGUAAUUUAACAUUGUAUAAAAAUUGAAUUCCAUAUAGACUAUAGAGAUUUUUAUGCAAUGCAUAAAUUUGUUGUGUUUCUAAGUGUUUCUUUACAAUCAUGAAAAUCACUUUUUUGAUAUUUUCUCACACUCAUUAAGAUUGUUAUUCACUAGCCAGUCAACAUAGCUUUUCCUUAUAAUCAAAUUUCAAUUUUUUCAUAAUCGUAUUUAUUUUCAAAAGUUUAAACAAGGGAAAAUAACAUUUACCUCCCUUAAAGUAGGUUGAAAUGUCACUCACACGUAUUGUAUUGGUGAAGUGUGAAGCGAUUCACUAUGAAUUUCGCUUCUUUUUUUUUUUUUUUUCCCUUUUCUUUCUAUAACUCCAUUAUUUCAUUAACAUAAUAAAUCGAAUAUAUGUGUAGUGCAGUACCUCGAAGCACAUCAAACAAAACUCAUCUAAAGAAUGAAUUGGAUCCCAAAAAAAGAUAUUAACUUGGAAUGAAGGAUCUAAAUUGUCAUCAUUGCUUUCUCAAAGCACUUUUUCUAGACCAAAAUUUGAUCAUAUAAAAAAGGGCAUAGUAUUUGAGAAUGUUGCAAAAAAUUGUUUCUGCAUAACUAAAUUUACUAUCUGCAGCUCAUCUGACACAAAGUAGGAACCUAGAUAGUUAAUAUGUGCAACAAAUAAAAAGUCAUAUGCAACAAAAAAAAAUCUAAAUUAUAAUUAAAAUGUGAUUACCUGCAUACUCUGGUGCCAUAUAUCCAAAAGUUCCUGCAAAUCUAGUCUGGAUUAAUGAAGCUUUUCCUUCUGGAGCUAGCCGAACUAAUCCAAAGUCGGCAACUUUAGCGCGCAUAUCAUCUCCAAGCAAAAUAUUUGUUGGUUUCAGAUCUCUAUGAAUGAAAAUUUGUUGUGCCAGACCAUGGAGAUAUUCAACACCUCGGGCAACAUCCAAGGCAAUGGAAAGCCUACUCUUCCAUCCGAGCGGUUUCAACCCGUCGUCUUUCCACUCAAAGAGAUGUUGACUAAGAGUUCCCUGAGGCAUGUAUUCAAAAACAAGAAGUUUCUCAUUGUCGUCCAAGCAAUAGCCAUGGAGUGCAACCAAAUGCCUGUGUCGAACCUUAGUGAGAACCGCGAUUUCGGACUUGAUCUCAUUCAACCCUUCAUCACCAACCAUUUCAGAUUUCAUCCUUUUCACUGCAAUCGUUGUUCCAUCGUCCAAUUCUCCUUUGUAUACAGUAGCGAAACCGCCUCUCCCCAAUAUGUUUUUUUCGCUAAAAUUGCCUGUAACUUCUCUUAAAACUUGAAUUGAAAUCACCAUAUUACCAGCUUCCACAUUUUGAACACUACUCGAUUGACUAAAUCCAGCAGUUCCUCCUGAAACGCCGGCACCAGAACUUCCAGAUGCUGCAACACUUAUUUUCACGCCAUUUCCAUCUCCAGAGUGACGAGGAUGUACCACGAUCGCAUUCGGAGUUUCAAUUUUGUCAUCACGCUUAUUUUGUCUUCUAUGGCACAUAACAAAUACCACAACCAGUGUACCAAUUAAGCAUAAAAUUCCUAUCACAAUCCCAACAAUUGCUCCAACACUCAAUUUCUUCUUAUCUUCACCUCCAGAACUAGAGUCGGAACUAGAUUUGGGGCUGUCAGGCGAGUCAUGAGGUUUAUCCUUUCCAAUAUCAGGAUUUCCACCUGUUUUAACAACCACAUCGCCGCGAAACGACGGUAUAUGACCAUACAACAAAUUAUUCGAAACAUCUAGCUCUUUCAAUUGAGGCAUACUAGCAAGCUCCUUAGGUAGAGUACCGGUGAGAUUAUUGUUAGCAAGAAGCAACUUCGUCAAAGAACUAAGACUUGCAAAAUUAGGAGAAAUACUGCCAGUAAAACCCUUGUUUUGAAAGUCGAUAAUGGUAAUGUUGCCACUAGAACAAACAACCCCCAACCAACCACCUUGACAAGGGUCAUUACCUUGCCAACUUUGAGCAAGUUUAAGAGGAUAACCAAAAGGUUCAACAACAGAAAGCAAAGCAUUAACAAGUGGACUACAUGGUUGACCAAUAGCCUUAGUGCAAAAGCUAUGAGUCCCUCUAUCAAUAUCAUUAUCAACACGAACACGAUUUUGAAACUUAGGAAGUGACCCUUGAAGAUAAUUGUUUGUCAAAUUAACAACUGUUAAACUUUGAAGCGAAGUUAAAGACGGUGGAACAACACCGGUUAACUGAUUAUCUCUCAAACUAACAUCAAACAAUUGAUCAUGAUUUGAUAAAUCAGGUAUACGACCAGUAAACGAAUUACCAUGUACCCAAAUUUGUUUCAAUGAUGUCAAAUUUUGCAAAACAGAAAGUGUGCCAUUGAGUCUAUUAAUACUACUUUGACCAUUUACCCAAAGUUUCUCUAUAGAACUACCAGAUAAACUAUUAGGCAAAUUACCUUCAAGAAAAUUGAAAGACAGAUACAAAUUAGUCAAACCUGGAAAAGUUUCUUUUCCAAAGAAUUCAGGGAUUACACCAACUAAACUAGCAUUCAUAGCAGAAAAAACUUUAAGGGCUAAACAAUUCUUAAGACUAGAAGGAAUUUGCCACUGAGGAAAAGGGUUAUAACCAAUACUCACCUCUAUCAAAUUACUCAUGUUUGUGAAGAAAUCACUUGGCAUGGAAGUGAAAUUGUUGUUGUUAAUAUACAAAAACUGAAGUGAACUUGGCAUGUAAGGAAAAUCACCAGAUAAAGCGUUUCCAUUGCACUCAAAACGAUUUAACUGAGUGAGUUGCACCAAUUCUUUUGGUAAAGAACCUUGAAUAUUCAGACCUGCAAUUUGAAUUGCAGUGACUGUGUUUCCAUUAAUCUGAACACGAUUCCAUUUGCGAAAAUCUGAGUCUGACCAAUCAAGAUCAUUGCUUGAUGAUUUUAUAGAACUUUUCAGCUUUUGCAUAACAACAUCAUCUUGAGACCAUGCAGAAACAAACAUCAUAGAAAACAACACAACAAGGUGAAGAACGUAGGAAACUCUGAAACCCAUUAGGGUUUUUUGUUGUUGAAAAAAUAGGGUUUAUUUAGAAAAAAACUGUGGAAAGUGGCGUAACAGAAGAGAGAAUAAUUUUGCAAGAUUGAAGGAAUAAAUCUCUUAAUAACGCUGAAUUGUAGGGUUAUGAAUGACAAUGAUUCUGCUAAAAAAGGGAAUAUUUUUGAAGAGAGAAUCAAGUGAAAGAGAAAGGAAAAAAUAAUGCUUUUUUUGGUAUGAAAAUCCUUUUGAUACGGCGGAGAAAGAGUAAGAAGAAUAAAGAGUUAAGAGACUAGACAUUAACUGAAGUUUUUUUUUGAAAGAAGACAUUAACUGAAGUUUAUGUGUACUUUUUGUGUUUGGUUUUAUUUUGUAGAGGUGAUUUUUUUAUGUUUUUUUUUUUUUUUGGUGUACUUUUAUGUUUGUUGUUGAAUGUGUGUUAAUCUCUCCUAUCAUAAAAUUAAAUAAUUUUUUUUUUUUAUUUUCAAAAUUAAAUUAUAACUUUUUUUUAGACAAAAAUUAAAUUAAAACUUAAACUUGAUAAUUUUUGUUUUUAUGGUAUAAUUAAUAGUCACUCCCUUCAAAAAAAAAAAAAAAUAGUCACUCAUACCCUAUUAUCGUAUCAUAUUUAUUAAAUUUUUUUUUUUAUCAGAAACAAAGGUUGGGCCCUUUUAUUUUAGGAAUCAAAUCAAUAGUAUAACAAAAAAAAACCUUUUACAUUAUUAUCUACCAUACUUAUUAAAUUACUUUUUUGGGAAAAAAGAGUUUACUAUGCCCUUUUCUCUCUAAAUCAAAUAGUUUUAACAAAAAAACAUUCUGUCAAAAACAAAAAACUUAUUAAAAAUCUUUGAUAAAUUAUAAUCAUUAGUGACAAAUAUUUGUCACGUAGUCCCCGUGAGCUUAGCUCAGUUGGCAGAAACAUUGCAUAAUUUAUAUAGGGGUCGGGGUUCGAACCCCGGACACCCCACUUCUCCACAUUUAAUUGUGUGAGGUCCGGCCACUAGACUACUAGACAAAAAAAAAUAUUUGUCACGUAUUUUUUAAGUAUUAGUGACAAUUAUUUGUCAUAUCCUCUCCCCAUCAGACGAGUCUGAGGCUUGAUAGCAAUACUAUUGUUGAAAUGGAAGGCACCGAUGAGGCGGAAAAUGUGGCUUAUAAGCAUACUUCUCCCCAACUAGACAAGCAUGAGGGGAGGGUAAAACUUGAAAGGAAUAAAACCAUUCUAGAGACACAUGAAGGAAUGAUGUCUUAGUCUAAGAUAGAGAAUAUAUUCGAGUUCAAAAAACUCGUAGAAAAAUAUACAUCUUUAUCUCCAUCUAAAGACCUUAACAGAACUCGAACUCGGGAUCUCCUAAUCUAAAACAUAUCCUUUUAUUAUAGAAGCGUAAAUUGAUAUUAUUAUUCGUAUUUAUUUACAAUUUCCAUAAGGUUAUAAUGGUUCGUACAUUGCAUCAGUGGAUGACUUUGCAAAUGUAGGAUGCUUUUUGCAUGACCACGAGAUUGGAUUUGAGCCAAAGUAUACCAAUGUUUCAUGCCCAAUCUGAAGCACAGAAUCCUUGAAUAGAAGGAGUAGAAUCACACGAUCCAAUCCAUGAUCAAUAGUUCCCUUGAGAUGGCGAAGACCACAUUUGGAAGUCAACAAAUUUGACAAGUGUUCGAAAUUGUUCUAAGUAAUACAUUAGUAAGUUCUCGUUUUCAUACGAAUUGUCAUUUGUUACUAGUCAAUUUAUAAUGAAAAAUUUAUGUAUGAUCGUAUCUUUAGGGACAAACCAUUUUUUUUUUUUUUGUAAAUGAUCUUACAACGAAGCGAGUAAAAUACAAUCAGUAUUAAAUUCACUUGUGAGAAAUUAAAGUAAAGGGUAUUCGACCCAUCAAAUAUCCUUUUUCAUAGUUAAAGUGAAGUUGUUUUACAUCCAUAAGCUAAAUUUCUGAAGCUAUCUUAAGCCAUCCUUCAUUAUCAACAAAACUGUCACUCGCCAUUAUAUUAACGGUUGUCCAAUCCAACUUCUUCAACCAUUUCACUCGUUUGUUUGUUUUAGAACCAGCUCCAAUAUUUCCAUACUCUGCAAAUUGUAUGUAGUUCCUGUAAAAACGAGUGUAGAUAUAAUGACGAUGAUGGAAGACACGAGUUCUAUUCACCAAUUAUAUAAUGACGAUGAUGAACAAAAAAAUAAUGGAUGUAAAUUAGGGAUCUUACUCGUGAUCGGCGAAAUACCAUGGCGCCCAACCAGUAGGUACUACAAUGUCGGACAUAUUGGUAUUGUAGAAUAGAACUCUAGCAUAAGCUCUCCAUGGUCUUCCCAAGUAUGUUGUUCCAUCUCCAUACACAUUACAAUUCUUAAAAACAAAACCAUUUGCAUCAUUUUCACCUGUUCUCCCUUGUGCUGUAAUAAAACCAGCAAUCCCUUGACCUAGAGCAGAAGCAAUUACAGAUAUAGAACACUCCUGCAUAAUUUUUAUUUUUUUUUUGGUUACAUUUUUUAUAAUAAGUAAAUAAACUAUAAACAUCCAAAUAUACUUCGAUAAUCACUUUUUAAACUAAAUAAGAAGUUCUAUAAUUUUAACCAAUACUCUAGAGCACACUGGUUAGCAAGACGCUGUAAUUUUGAAUCAUUUAUUCGAUACAACCAUAAGAAUUAUUACCUCAUAUAUAGACUGGCCAGCACCAAAUAUGAAAUCAACAGCACCUUGAAUCAAACAAUUCUUGUAGUAAUGUCUUCCUUGAUCAUCCCACAAAGUGUCUUGAAAACCAAAGAAGCCGACAUUAUAGAAGUAAGUCUUGUCACCACUUACCAUCGCAGCUACGGCAGGGGCCCAUGGGUUACUAUUUCUUGGAUUAUUGUAUGAAUUCUGAUUCCAGAGAUAUAAAGAGUCAAAUUUAUUGCAUGUUCAGCUCAAAGGAGAUACAAAUCAAGAUAAAACAAAUAUUCAAUUCUAGGCAAGACACGACAUAUACUAGCAAAAAAGAAACGUAAGGGGAAAAUAUGGUGAUUAGUAUAAAUAUGAUUAUCUUUGACAGGAAACUUUAGUUAGGAAUUUCAUUAUAAAAAUCUACAUGUAAAUGUAAAUGCAUAUUACACUAUAUAUUAAAACUAAUUGAUUAUAUUUGUUGAGAAAAAACUUUUCUUCUAAUCUAUUUAUAUGAAAAAAAAAAAAAAUUAUACGAAAAAACUGCUCUAAGCUCACUAACCUUACUACCUACUUGAGACUAUUUAGUUGCAAGUAAAUGUGAGAAUAUGUUAAAUCGAACUAGGCUUUGUAAUAAGACCUAAGUCUGAUCUGUCAAUAAUUUUAAUGCCUAAGCUAAGCCUAAGACUUGUCAUAAACUUAUUUUUUUAGGCAUAUUACUAAUCGUUCGAAAGUCUGAUCUGGUCUACUAACAUUUCUAAAAACUUGUUUUAUAUGAGCAUAUUCAAAUAAUUAAUGUGAUAUAAAUUUAAAUAGACUAACAAACUAAUAUAUCAAUUAUAUUAAUCUCCCUUUUCAUAUUUAACAUGAAUUUCUACAAAAUUUGACUAUAUAUUAAGAAAUAUUUCAAUUCUAGUUUAUGAUAAUACAUUUGCAUAUGGGAAAAAUUAAUGUAUACUAAUAAACUUAAAUAACAUUAAAGAUUAACAAAUUUAUAUUUUGAUUCAAAGUAAAAAAUAUAAUAAUAUUUGUAAUAAAUAAUAAUAAUAUUUCAUUCGAUAUCAUGCCCUCUAAACUCUAAAAAACUAAAAGAGUUAUUGAAAAUGUAAUUAAAUUAUACUAAGUAACAAUAAGUGAAUGAAUGGGAAUGAGUAACUAUUAUGUAAGAAGAGAAGUCCACAAUAGGCAUUAAAAUGAAAAAGCAAGGUAUUAUUUCUCACCCUAAAGCUAAUAAACCUGACCACAAUAUUGUCAGCCAUGGUGAAGAACGUAGGGCUCUGUAAAGUAGUUGCAUGGUCAUUCCAUUCAACUAUUGUCUUGCUCAUCCCCGCUCCUUGUAUAAUAAUGUAGGGUUUAUCAUAAGGAAUCUUCAACUUCUCCCUAUACAAAAUAAACCACCACAAAAUUCAACAAUUUUUCAUUUAAAUAUCGAUAUUAAUUUGUUGUAAGGAAAUAUUAGUAUACAACUGUUCUAUGAUAUCCCACAUAGUUCUACUUAAUCUGGUAGGUGCAACUCAGUUUUUAGCUACUCGAGACAUUUUUUUACAAGGGAUCGGGGUUUGAACACAGAAUUACAGACUUAUAGUGUGUAAACCUAGCCAUCAGACUAAUUAAUAAAAAAAAUUAUCAUUUAAAUGUAAUGAUGACACUAGAAAUACAAUAUGGUUCAACAAUCGAUUUCGAUAUAUAAAUUAAUGAAUUUGUCUCCAAGAAAAAUAAUGAUGAAAACUACUUAUAAUUUUACCUGUAGAUGCCUUCUUUAAUAUUGAUGGAAGUCCAAUACCUAUUGUUUGAAGGUAUGGAAUCAAUAGCAGAUUGUAUGGUAGAGAAACAUCCAUGGUGCCCCUUGGGAUCAACUGUUAUUUUCUUGGUAGAGUAACCUAUUUUCUUGUAUGGUAGAGAAACAUCCAUGGUGCCCCUUCGGUGAAUUUGAGCAUUUGAUAGCUCUACUCCCAAACCAACCAGGAGAAAUAGACAAGUAAAAUAACACCAAUGAAAAGACAUAAUUAUUGGUACAAAAGGGAUUUUCAAUACCCUAAAAAAAUCAAGAGAUUUUCAAAGUAGAAAAAUUUGGUUCUUAGCUUGAACAAGAAAAAAAUUACAAUAAAACGAAUUGAAAGGUGAAGUAUGUAUUUAAAGAGUUACUAGUAAGAGGAUUUUUUUUUAUUUUUUUUUAUUUUAAGGAAGCUAGUAAGAGUUUUUUUGAGGGAAUGAAGACAGUCAACUUAAUCAAGGUUUACUAAGGAAAGUGUUCCACUAAUGGUAUGUCAUAUUUAUGAUUCUCAAAAAUCAUAGUCAAUUUUUGUUUCCAAUUGUAAAUAUAAUAAUGCAAUAAUAAUAAAUAUUCUGAAUGUCAAGAGAAUUAUUAUGUUUUUUACAAUACAAUGAUGGUAACUUUAUUUUGAUAUCGUCAAAUUAAUUGCAAUUUAUUUUAUUUUUUUGAAAGAAAAUUAAUAUCACUUCUUCUUUUGUUUGACCUUUGGUUGAACUAAUUAAAUGUCAUGAUAAUUUUCCAAAUCAAAAUCACAGCCUAGACCUAUAAAACUAACUAUGUACAUAUGGGGUCAUAGCCUUGAGUUUUAGUUUUAUUAUUGGGACUAUUGAUGGCCUCCACUCCACAUACCAUUUUUUCCUUUAAAAUUUGUUAAAAAAAUAGUUUUCAUCAAUUAAUGUGCAUUUUAAUUACUUUUUUUGUUCGGAUUGGUUACAAUGAUUCCAUGAAUUUGUCAAAAAGAAUUAUUCAUUUUAGGAAUAUUUUAUAUGCUAUAUGUGCAAUUAAUUGUCCUUGUCAUAGUACAUUUAAGAAAAAUGUUAUUAUUUAAUAUUUAUCGUAUAUUUAUUUUAUGUUUGAAAUUUUUCAAAUAAAAUGCAUCAUUUAUACUCCUCCCGGUCUUAAUUAUAUGCAAAAGUUUAUUUUUUGAAUUCAUUCAAUGAUUAAUGUAUUUGGUCUGUAAUACAUAACAAAUACAUUAGUCAUAUACUCUUUCAAAAAAAAAAAAAAUACAUUAGUCAUAUACUCUUUCAAAAAACAAAAAAAUACAUUAGUCAUAUUAAAUGAAUCUAAAGAGUGAUUUUUUUUUUUUUUUGAAAGAUACAGAAAGAGUGAAUUUUUGUUUAUGAUAAAUGUUACUUAUUUUUUUUAAAAGAAAAAGAGAAAGAGGGAAGACUAAAGCCAAGACCCUAGAGGAAAAACAAAAUAAAUAAAAAUAAAGAAAGACAACAAAAAAUACACCAAAGGACUAGACAUGGCAACGAGGUGGGGCGGGGCUGGGUUUUAACAUACCCGGCCCCGCCCCCACCCCCAAACCCGACGGAAAAAGAAACUUUACCCCCGUCACCCCCACCAGCGAAAAGUGUAGCAAAAUAAAUAAAAAAUAUUCACAGUAAGCCUGUUAAAAUUCGCGGUUUAUGUUGACUAAAAUGGUUCAUUAAUUGCACCUUAACAAGUCUACAACAUUGCAUAAAUUUGAAAAAACGGUUUAACAAAAUCAAUUAUAUACACCUAGUAUGACCAUAGUAUUUUGUGUUAUUUAUUCCUGUUGAUUUAAACCAUAUUCUUAUGGAAAAGUGUCAAAAAGACCACAUAUGUUAAGAAGUCUUAAAAUAAAUGUUGAAUUUGAUUCUCUAUUUCACUUUCAUAUUUUGGAAUUUUGAAUUUCUACAAACAAUAUAGAUUGAAAUCAAAAUUAAUGAAAAUAAAUCCAAUUUUUCGGAGAAAAACAAUACGAGUGCGGGGCGGGGGUGGGUGUGAGUAUCCCUCGACCCUGGCCCCGCAUUAAAACUCCGGGUUUUUAGCCCAUUAUUCACUUAGAAACUCCUUAGCUUGUUAGGUUUUUGUAGGAACUAACCCUAAAACUUUCAUGUCAUGAAUAACAUUUACAUUAAAUCUGACAAGUUAGAGUCUGUCGCCACCAUGACUCGACCAAAAGGCUCCUGGGUUGACGUGUGGGUGACAUGAUCUCCCAAAGGAAGAGAGUCUGCUACUACUUCAACAAAGGAAGUCAUGCAAUUCCAAGAAGUGGUAUUAUUUAUAUAGUAGAGAUCAGUGAUUGCAUCACUCCAAAGACCAACUAUACGCAUAUCCAAAUAUUGGUUGCUCUAAUGAGCCUCCCUCUUUUCAACUGUAUAUGAUAUUCACUGUAUUUAAUUGAGUACAUUACAGUCUUCUUCGCUAAGAGAGGUUGAAAUUACAAUACCCUUUAAUCUUAUGUUAAAAUAAACAACCCCUCCUUUCUAACUCAAAAUAUAUUAGAGAAAUCCGCUCCUAUGCCCUAAAUGAUGAUUUUUUUUUUAACACCAAAAUUUAUUAGAUAGUGAGAGAAGUUAAAAGAGUAUUUAACCCAUAAUUUUAAAAAAGUACAAGGGGUACUCGCCUCGAAGGGAAAAAAAAACCCAACAUCAAGAAAUAAGACAGUAUAUGGUUCGAAAACCAUUUGUAAAACAAACAAAGACUCCCUAAUUUCCUAGAAAUAAACCAUCUCCAAGAGGUGACAUUGAUCGCGUCUACAAUCUCGUCCAAGUCCCAAUUUUUAGCAGAAAAAAUAACCUAUUAUUAGCUUCCCAAGUUUUCCAAAUUGUUGCAUGCCAAAUGAGUGAAAGCCGCUUUCAAUUUUUUUAGCCAAAGAAGAUGACGAAAAAUAGUCAAGGAGUAAAACAAUAUUACGUGUAAAUUCACCCAAUUCCGAUCCAUUUAAAAAUGGGAGCUUCUAUGAUGUCGUCUUAAAAAAUAAUUAAUAUGUCGCUUUUGAGAAAAACACUUAAAAUCACCUUAAAAAACUUUUUUUUUUAAACGUUUUUGAAGGAAAAGUAAAAAUGAAUUAAAUUAAUACUAACUGCAUUUUUUCCCUCUUAAAAAUCACAUUUUUUUUUAAUAUCCAAUAAAAGAAACUUCAUAAAAAUAAAUUCUUUGGAAAUUUUCCUAUUUGGUAAAAUAAAAUUUAAAGUGUUGAAUAAAAAACUUUAAUCAAUAUUUUUCAUUUGCACAUAAUUUUUAUGUAUUUUACCAUAAUAAGCACAAUAAAUUCAAAACAAAUGCUCCCUAAAAAAAAAAAUAAUCAAAACAAAUGUUAAAAAUGAUAAAUUAGAAAUGUAGAUUUCAUUCUUACUUUUCCGUUUGAUUUUUUUUUUUUUUUUAACAAUAAAAAAUGGAACUUAUAUUAACAAACCACGGACACCUCCAACUACAAGAUGUACCAAGGAGGCUCAGAGUAUUUACAAAUAUACAGAGUCAAACAAAAAUUAGCCUAGUCCCAAACAAGUCAAAGGACUUGACCACCACAAUUGGAACCCAAAAACAAAAACAACAUUAUGAGCUUUUAGCCACCAAAGAGAGUUCUGCUUUACUUUAUCCGUUUGAAAUUUUUUAAAUAAUAUAAUAUUUAAAUUGGUUUUUAGUUCAUUUUCUUAAAUGACGGUUUUAAAAUCGUCAAAUAUGCAACAACAUGGUAGAAUUUUCCUUUAAAAAUUACAUACCAAAUCCUUCCAACAAAGCUACAUCUACAAAAACAAGUGAUCCUCUACAUCUUGAAUAUAUACAUGGGUACGAAAUACAAUCCGAAGUCACACCAACGACAAAACUCCUUUACAAGAAUACUCGGGAACCACACAUAGUCUAAAGUCAUACCAAUCUGCAUAGUUUCUCUACUAGAUAAGCUUGAUCGAUUCGCAAGUCUACCAACACCAAGAGAUGAUUAAAUUACUCUCCUUUCCCUUGUUAAGUUAAAAUUUACAUUCUCCUCCUUUCAUUUUAAACUUCUUAGACAAUUUUAAUACAAUUAAAUAUCUAUUAUGCUUAUUUUUUUCACAAUUUCGUUAAUAUCAUAUUAUAGCUUUGAAGUAAAAUAAGAUAAAAUAUAAAUAUUGAAUUUCAUCAAAUAUAAAAAAGUAUUGGACACGUGAUUAAAAUUGAUAAAGAAAAGGCUUAUUAAAUUUUAUAUUCUAAAAUCAUAAAAUUAAUAAUGAAUAUUUAAAUUUAAUUAUUAUUAACAUUUGGAGUUAUAAAUAAAGGGUCUUGUUAACAAAGAAAUUAUUUCUAAUGCAAUAAAUGCACAAACUUUCAUAAAAUAUUACCACUUUGGAUGCUUAAAGAGUAUCCUAGGGACACUCGUUAGCAUUUCUCAUUAAUAAAUUAAAGUUCAUUUCUUAAAUGGUUCCUUGAAUCUUUUUUUGACAGAAAAUGAUGAUUCCAAGUUAAUUAUUAUUAUAAAAAUGUUUAUUUAAAUGAAAAUGGGUUAACAUAUAAUCCAUAUUUAAUUCUCAAGAGAGUGAAGUGUAAUCCAAACAUCUCAUAAGAGAUGAGAGUAUGAUUUUCUUUACGUAUUUAUUUUUAAAGAGAACAAUGAAAUUCAAACAUCUCAGAAAGAUGAGAGUGUAAUUUUCUCUAUUUAAUUUAUUUAAGUAUCAGAACAUGACUUGGGUUUAAGGAUGUUAAAGGGGUAAAGUCGGGUGCGGUGCUCCUCAAUUCCAAGUUGCACUACACAGGGAGAUUUUUAUUAUUAUUUUAUGUACACAUGCAAUCAACGUAAAAUAAAUGUUUUUUUUUUUUUAUUAUUUUAUAUCAAAACUCGUGGACUUUGAAAACCUAUUUUUUUUAUAGGCAAAAAUAGAGAGGUUAAGCAUCAGGGAGAAGCUUAAACAUCCCAACUAGGUUGGCAUCCAACAGCAACUCUCAUCCUUUGUCGCCUUCCUAAUACGUAAUAAUAUUAUUAAAGUAAGGAAAUAUUUGUACAAAAGAGGGGGGACUAGGCCAAUACCCUCAAAAAAAGAAAAUGGAACGACAAAACAGAAACUAAAAAGACUAUAAAUGGCUACGAGAAUCUAUAAUUAGGAAGCCCAUUUAUGUCUUUAGUAAAAUCAAUCGUCAAUGAUACUAUCAUAGGUCGGAACCAAGUAGUAUUAGGCAUGUCAUGCCCCAAUGCAGCCAAAGUGUCUGCACAACAGUUUUCUUCCCUUCAUUGAGAUGAUGGGAGGGGACCCUAUGAACGGGUUUGUAUGCUCCAAGUGCUGCACAAAUGGUACAUUCGCAGUGGCCGAGCGUGAUUGCUCCUGUUCCACUGCAAUAAUUUUGUGAUUCACUGCCUCUUAUGGAAUAUCUUGUUGUUGUACCGUAAUGGUAUGUGCCUCUGCUUCAGCAAUUACCGGGUCCUUAUUUGUCUGAGGUGCUGCAAAAGCAAUAGAGGAACCAAUACCCGACAGGUUGUCUUUGAUAGGUGCCCAAGUUUGCUUUGGUACUGGUGCUGGUUUUUUUGCCUUGGACAAUAUUUUUUUGUGAACAAUAUUGCCCUUCUUUGGAUAUAGCCACCGACAUGAGGAUAUGUCAUGGCCUAUGGUAUGACAAUGUGUACAGUAAUCCGGAAGCCACUCAUAGGCCACCUCCACCUGAAACGCAUACCCUUCUCUCUGAACCCCGUAAUUUCAUGAAAUAUUUGUCUUGAAAAGUCCAUGUCGACAAGUAUGUGUGCGUACUGCCAGUAGAUGCGCUUGGAAGUUGCACUGUCAAUAAGGAGUGGGGUGCCCAAAGCACUAUCCAUCCAUCCAAUACUCUUGAGGUAAUUCCAAAAGUCGGAUCCACACUUGUGCAUGAGUGUUACGAUGUUUGUUCAUAUUAAAAUAUUUUUGCCAUUCAAACAAACGGAGAACACCUGGUUUCAAAUUAAUCGCCCCCAUCGCCCAUGUCAUGCGCAUAUCCUCUUCAGAUGAAAAAAAGAACUCGUAGUAACCCCUGCCUAAUGACGUGAUGGACCAUGCCCCUUUUGUUUUCCAGUGAUUAUGAAGUUUAGAAUAGAUGUCUUUUGUAGUAUAGGGUUUGUCGCCCUUAUUCAGAACCAGACGUCCACGAAGGUUGCGUUUACAGAAAUCCAUACAUAUCUCAUAUAUGUCAUGUGUAAUAUGUAUGCUAACGGUAUCGCCACAGAUCAAGGGUUGCGGUAGACUAUCAUUGCUUGCGGUAGUUAUUGUCGAGGCGGUCAGCGCUUGAGCAAAAGAAAUUUUCUGCACUGGUUUGGGAGGAGGAGGAACCGUCGCAGCUGAUGAGGUAUGAUUCACAAUGGUCCUUCCCAAUGGUGCGGCCAGCUCAGCCUGCCAAUCAAAGGCCAUGGCCAGGCUGAACUCGGCAACGGUCAGAAACGCGAUCAGAUAUCAGAGGUCUAAUCGAAAUUGCAAUUCAAUGGAUGAAGAAAGCAACACGUAACCUGAUUCGGUAAUUUAAUUCUGGAUGAAUUUCCCAACUAACCUCACGUGAAUUAAAUUGAAGAGUGGAGUUAAUUGUAACAUAGCAAUUUCAUGAAUUUCUCUUUAACUUGGUUGCUAUAACCUAUAUACAUAUAAUAAGUAGUCCCUAGAGUAUGUAAACUCUAUCAAUUUAGUUCUCAAAUAUAUACCUCAGUAACAUCACAUUUUGCUAGUUUUGUUCUCAUGUAGGAGAACAAGUUAGUCUUACCAAAUGAAAGGUUUAUUUCUCUAAAAAUACUUCUAAAUCCAUUGUAAAGUAUAUCAGCAAUAUUUUAAAUAUUGAAGUCACUAAUGAUUUUGGGAAGUAUCUUGGUAUCCCUGUUAUCAAUGGAAGAAAUGAUAAAUCCUCUUAUCCCCGUUAUCAUGGAUUAUUAGGAAUGGUCAUUCAAUCAUAAUCAGUGCCUUCCUUUGGAAGCUCGAUCAUGGGAAGCUCGAUGUAUGCUAUGCUAUAUACUGAUGUUUGCCAAAGACGCUCUCAAGCCCUAGUUAGAUAUCAUAUUUGAUUUAGUUAAAAAUAUGUGAGAUAAUUUUAUAUUAAUGGAUGAUGAAAAGUAAGCUCUUUUUUAGUCUUAGUUUAUUCCAAUGGACCGACUUUAAUAUUAGUACGUCUAAUAUUGGCUCGAUUCGUGGGCAAUGGCAAUCGGUUCUAGGUGUCAUGGUUUUGAUUGGAACCAAUUCGUUUUCUCAUAGCAUGUCGAUGAUAGAUUCAGAAUUUUAAUCUGUAUGGAAAAGUUUUUAUACCGUGAUUUUUUUUUUUUUUAUUAUCUCUUAGAGGUAAUUGAAACAUAAAAGAGAUGGAAUUUCUAAAUUGUCAUCUAAAGGCUCCACUUCGUCUAUAAAUCUUAGAAGGAAAUCAACAUACCUCAUCUUACCUUAGUAGUUCUACAAAUGGACAUCCCUAUCUCGUCUAUAUUACCAAGAGAAAAAGAGUAAUAAAAUUCAUAUGCAAUGUCCACAGUAGUGUCGCUCUAUUUCUAAGUUCAAACAUCAUCCCUAGGAAUGUUACCUUCCUGUUCAUCUAUCGUGGCCAGCUUUGCGUCGCCGUGUUUUGACGUUGUGAGGAUGGUUUUAUUCAGAUUUGUGUUUUCUUGUGUUGGUUCGUGGAUUCUUGAGUGGUGAGUCAGUGUGUGGUUCUUUGUUGGGUCGGUGGUUGUUCUCUCUGUGCCUUCCUUCUUGGUUUCGGUCAUCCUCACAGUUUAAAGCCUUUGAUUUCUGGUUCCUUUCUGAUGUUUGGAGAUCUGCUGAUUUCUUGGUUUCCGAUUCGCCGCCUUUACGACGGUGGUCUUGGGGAAGUUUUGGUGUUCCUAUUCGCUUUGGUUGUUAAUGUACCGUGCGUUGGUUUUUUACGAUGGUUCAGUAAACCUGAAAGGGUCUGUUACAAAAACCCGAAAGAAUCUGAUUCGUUUAACCCGAAAGGGUCUGGUUACGGGCGUACUGAACUCAUACCAUGAUCUGAGUUCUUACGCGUUGUUUUCUCGAAAGAGCUUUUAUUCUUGAUGUUGUUCAGGGAGUUGUUGGCACUUGGAUUUUGUUACCGUGUUAGCGGUCGAUCCAUUCGCCAUAAUUACACUCCAACUAUUCUUUGCAGAUGUUCACUUUUCAUUCUUUUUUGUAACAUGGUUUCACGCCUGUACGUGGGUUCGUUGGGUUGCGCCAGUGAUUAUUGAAUUUUUGUUAGGAUAGAUUAGAGUAUAUCCACUUAGGUUGAUUUAUCACGAUAUAUUCACAUUUGAGUUUUCUUGGGUCAUGUCCUAUGCCCCCCACAAUCUUUCUAUCUUUCCUUUUUAUUAAAAUUGAUCCAACAGAUAAAAUAGAGAGAACCAUACCCAUUUUUUAAUUGCAUAUAUUAUGGAUUGUCCCUAACAAUUGAGCUAAGCUCACGAAGACGAACCAUGUCCACUUAGAGUUUAGUUACUCAUGGUAGCUAAAGACCAAAUUACAAAAGAACAGAACACACCUUAAAGACUAAGGAUGAGGAGGGAAACUCCUUCAUUGAAGCUCACAAUGUUUGCCUUAAAGUGAGUUUUGCGUGAAAAACUGUGCUUUUUCUUCAAGCCUGUAGAAGAAAAACAACAAAAAUUGUUUUUCACCUGAAGGUGUACGCCCCUCGUGUGUGAGAGGGCACGCCUUGUGGGGUGGCACUUCAGACUUUGUAUUUGGUGACUUUGUUGAUUUUAGUGUAUUUUAGAUGAAAGAGAAUGAUGAUUGAAUGAUUAUAAUAAAUUAUUUUGAUGAGAGAGAAUUAUUGGUUAUGAGAGAUAUAGAAACAAAGACAUCCAAAGACACCAAAGUACUACCCCGCCUUGUGCUCUAGUGCAAUUUUUGUACGACAUGGGCGCGCAACAGCUUACCCGAGGCGCACCAGUACAUUUUUUUCUUUUUGGUGGGGUGCGACGGCCUAUGCAGUAGUGCAACACAUAAGCUACACUUGAAAAGCUCAAUAGCAAGCUAUCGAAAUGGCCUCUCCCCCUUAAAAAAAGUAAUUUAAUAUCGUGUGACCCAUUGAACCACAUAUCAUAUAUUAAACUGAUAAGAACAGAUAGUACACUUGAUCUUAGUCAAAAGGCCGAGAAAGGUAAAGGCGCACCAGCACAUUGAAUCAAUAAUUAGCUAUAAAAAAUGGAUGAUAAAGCUUUGAAUAAAAAAUAAAUUAGAUUGAAUCAAAAUAUCAUUGAUGCAAGUAAAAGCUUCCAUUUGCAACACAUUCGGAAAGAACCAACAAAUUUGUAUGCGUUGUAUCGUAGAUCUACGUUGGAUUACCGCCGGCACCAGCACAUGCAUUGGGGACAGUACGUAGUAAUUUUUUUGAGUCUCGGACGUCGAUAUAGUUAGUACUCUCCAGAUUUAAAUAUAAGAAGAAAAAAAAAGUCAUAUUCACCUUUUAAGAUUCACAAGUGAACGUCCUCGUGAGCGCUUAGCUCAGCUGAUAUGGACAAUGUAUAAAAAUAUGUAACAUCUGUGUUCGAACCCCAACCACCAUCAAAAAAAGAUAUAUAAGUGAACUUUUCAACAACAAAAAAAAGAGUGAACUUUUCAAAUAUAUAAGUGAAAUUUAAUUAACUUCACUAUAUUUAACGUUAUUCUUGAGAAAAAUGUUUAAUUUUUAGAGAAGAAUUAUUGGUCAGAUUUUACUUACUUCUAAACCCAACUGUGGAUUAUCAUAAUUAUUUUCCCGUGAAAAUUGGAGGUUUACAAAAAUAAAAAUCUCAAAAAAGCUAGUCUAGAAAUACAAUUAUAUUCUUGAUCACAUCAACAAAAUUAAAUGAGAUUAAUUAUAUUUACUUUUUAUCAAAUAGUCUACUAACAAGAAUUUUACACUUAAUGUGUGGAGAAUGGUCUCUACAACCAUCAUCUAAAUUAUACUUACGAAACAAAUUAACAUUCAUAAUUGCUGUAUAAUUAAUAGUAACUUUUUCAACAUUAUUCACCUAGAAUUUAAUUCACCCCUCUCUUUUUUGUCUCUUUUUCAAUAGUGAAUUUUAUCCCAUCAUCUUUUAUAGUAUCACCUUUUUUUUUCUUUUACAUUUACCUAUUUUAGUCAACAUAUCCAUUUGUGACAAACAUGCACCUGUCAUUUCGGUGGAACAUAUAAGUAAAUUUCCAUGUUCUUUCAUAAUUGAUGUACUAUAUUGUCAUAUAUUAUAUAUAACUUGCUAGGUUUGCUUUCCUUAUUUUUUGACCCCUAUAAAAAAUAAAAAUUUAGUUUAUCCAUUUUGAUGAAUAUUUAACUACAGCUAGGGAGCUAACAACCCUUAAAUUAUGGCUUUGCACAUUGUACACUAGCCAUGAUUUCCCAUUUUAUUUUUAAUAAUUUAAAGACCAAAACAAAGUCAAUUAUAAUGUUUUACUUUUAUAAAAGUGCACACAUAUAUGGUCUUGAUAUUAUAAUGCUCUUUAUAUAAAGCAUUCAGUACAAUGUCUCUUUUGCAAAACAGGUAGAUGAUUGAUAAAAGGACUACAUGAUUUCAUGUUUAUUAAUUUAAAUUAUUUUUUAAUUUUAUUUAUCUUUCCCCAUUAUAUAAAUUAUAAAGUCAUCGUCACAAUAGUUGUUAAAUCCAGAGGUGUAUGUAAUUAUUAAUUAAACAAAUGCUAUGAAAACUAUCCUUAUAUAAAACAAGUUGCUAUAUGAUAUAAAUUGUUCUAUAUAUUUUAUUUAAAUUCAAAGAUAUAGAACCAAAAACAGAAUGUUCUAAUAUAGCUAGAGUAGUCUAGAAUUAACAUCAUAUACAAUACAUGUAUGAGCUAGGUAAAAAAUGGGAAAUAAAUAUCAUAUUCAUAGUUGGAAAAGACACCCUAAGAUAGCUUCAAUCUGAAAAAAUUGAACAACUUACACUACACCUAAACUCAAUAAUUUUAGGUCCAAAGAGGUUGGUGGUGUGGUCAUCCAUUCAAAUAACUUUAACAUAAUUAGUUGUCCAAAAAUGGAAAAAAAUAACUUUAAUUCUUUUAUCUUAUAUUUUUACUAUAUGCUUUAAUUGUAUAUUUCUUACAUUAUAAGAAUCCAAAGGCACUCUCUUUUUUCCAUCUUAUUUCUCACAUCCUCUCUAAUCUUUUCACCUCAUCAAUAUGAUUACAAACAAAUUCAAAUUAAACGACUCCAAUUUACAUUUGUAUUUUCUACUAAAUUUAUCAAAAUGGGGACUAUUAUUUAACCUCAAGGAAUAUGAAUAUAUUACCACAUUUCAUAUAAUGGAACUAAUAAUGCACGAGUAGAUCUCAAAAUUAUCAUCUCAUUUCAUGUUUAAAAUGGUCUAAUCAAAUGUGAUAAGUUAUUUUUCUUUAAUUCAAAAACCAUCACGAAUUUGAUGUAAUAUUUAUACAUAAUAAUUCAGAUGCGUUAUAUAACACGGCAUUGACAAAUCUUCAAGAAAGUGUUAGAGAGGUGCACGAUGGCAUAUUGAUCAAUUUAAAUAUUAUUAAUUAGUAGGAAUAUCCACAUUUGGGACACAAAUAUUAUAUUAAUGCACACAUUAUAAUAUGGUAAUUUUGUUAAAUGGCAUAUGCACCGCAAUUCAAGUCACUGCCACUGCCAGCUUUGCCCUAAGAUAGAGCUGUAAAUAAAGAAAUAAAGCUAUUGCAUAAAAUCAAAAGGUUACAAUAUUUCUCUUCAAAUAACUAGCACAUCAACUAUGACGAUAGUGCCAGCCUUUUUUGUUCCAAGAGAAAAAUAUAUUAAGAGUGUCCUUUCCACUUUUCUUUUGUAUCUCCUUAACAUGCGGUUUAACAACAAAAAUCGGCAAUAUUAGGAGAAAUGAUAGUAUUAAACAAAGACUUUUUCAAAAUAGAGUUAUUAAAGUGGUUCAUAAUUAAACUUCGGUUAAAAAUAAUAGUCUAAAAGAAUCUGUCUUAAGAGCCUUAUAGUAAGUGAUAUAUGAUCUAACAAUGUGUUCAUAAGUAAAUACCGUUGUUGAGCGAUGAUUACAAAGAAAGUAGAUGUCUUAUGUGAAAAAUAAUACCUAAUUCAAUUCAUCGCGAAUGUUGGAUGCGUAAGCAAUUAAAAAAAAAAAAAGUAAAUACCGUUGUCAAAUUAGAAAUCAAUUUUGUAAGGUUAAGUUAGGUACAACCCAAAAUUUUAAUAAGGCAUCGGAGUCUAUCCUAUAUCAGUUUGGCCACCACCUAUAAGGUCAUCACUAUUGGAUCACACUCCAAACACGUGAGGAGGUGUUAAGAUUCUCGUUUCUUUAUAUCAAUAAAACGUAAAUAAAGUUUAUAAGUAUGGACGAUCGUCACUUGCAAAUAAGUUUUGUAAGAUUGAGAUAGGAUCAACUCCAAUUCUAAAAUCCCGAGUUUAAAUUCUAGUAUUUGGUCAAACAUUACUUACCACUCCACUGAACUGUAAAUCAUCAUAUCUUCUCUCUUAAAAAUCCAAGAGUUAAGACAAACCGUAGAUUAAUUCGUGUAUAUGUAAGUGUUCAAUUUUUGAAAAAAAAAAUGUUGAAAAGAAACAAACAAACGGUUGAGUAAAAAUAAAACAGAUAAAAGGGUACUGAUAAUUUUAAUCUGGAAUAUAUGACUAUUCAAACAUAGCAAAACCAGAUUUUAGAACAUUAUCGACCAACCUACUCAUAUCUCUCUCUUGAACUGUAAGUAAGAUUAUUUUAAUUGCCAAAUGCUAAGUUGUCAAGUUAUUAUUAUUAAUAUUAUCCAACAUCACAAAACCCAAUCUCAUAACGGUAGUUUGCACGUUUCAUUCAUCAAUUGAUUCCAUAGUUUUGUGUUACAAGACGACAUUGAUCAGUUGCUAAACCCUAUGCAACGAGCAAAAUUAACUACUAUUAACUACUCCUAUUUUAAUUUUAAUCCUAUGAAAUUCACCAAAGGGACAUAUCUAUAGGCAAAUCAAAUAAAGGUCAAUUUAAGUCAGAAUUGUACUUUGAUUCAAAAAAAUAAAUAACGUAGUCAGAAUAGUACUACUACUAGUAGUAGGUUUAUUUUGCAAAAUAGGACCACAUGCAUGCAACUGGGUUUCAGACCCUACUAAUAACAAAACAUCAAACACAUUAAUUAUGUUGAAUUUAGCAAGAGAAAAAGAAUCUUACAUAAUUUUGUGUGCAAAUAAAAUUACAACAAUUAAUCAUUAUAAUUUUGAUUUUUGAAUGUUUGAUUCUCUGUGUGUAUCUCAUUUUUUAAAUCGAGCACAAAUAUUUAAAGUAUUUUUUUUUUAGAAAAAUUUGUUCAUUUGAUACUGAAGUAACUGCUUCUUGAUACUAUAUAAGACAAAACCGAUAUUUAGUGUACAAAAUAUAUGCAUUGGACAAAUAUAGCCGUUUGGGAAGUGUUUAAAAAAAAAUUCUAUGGCCAAAUAAAGAAACGUGAUUGUUUUGGUUUGAAGGUGGAGAGAGUUCAAAGUGAUUUUGCUAUGUUUGAAUUAAUGUUUUUGUUGAUUGUAAUUGAUUUUGACUUACAUUUACUUCUAGCUCUUUUUUGACUACUACAUCUAACUUAAAAGUUAUAAUUUAAAGUUUUCGAUUCCAAACAUAAUUUUUAGUCUCAUAAAUUUCUCAACUCAUUAAUUUAUACUUGAAAAUAUUUAAACAUAAGUUUAAAAGGGAUACACUAUCGGUGUUAAUCAACUCUGCAACCAAUGAGAAUCCACAAUUUGUUUUACAAAAAUAAACGAUAUUAAUUCAUUCAUGUUGAUAGAAUACGUCGAUACAACACAUAUUCAAAGUUGUUAAAAACAAAAAGAAUGAACUUGCGAACAAACUCACAGCAUCCAUGUUAAUAACAUAAAACGGCAAUGUAACUACGCCAACAAAUAUGACUAUAUAUAUUUAAGUCUCUGGAAUAUUCAUGUAUCUGGAUCUACAACUUUGAUGGCGCCAAAGUCAUUGAUUGGAUCUGCACCUGCUCAAUGACGGAAAAUAAAAACACAUUACAUAAAGACGAGAAAUAAAAAAACAAACAUGGUCGUGUUAAGACGACGAAAUCACCAUAACAAACAAAAACAUAAAAUAAAAAUAUGUAAAAAUCACUUAUUUAAUUAAAAAAUAAGAAAAUCAAUUCGAAUGAAUGAUUUUAAAUCAAAAUUAACCAUAAAUCAUUCUUCUUUAAUAGAUAAGAAGAAGAAAGGUGGUGAUGGCUAUAAAAAGAAGAGAAGGGAGAACAAAAUAUAUGUUUCCUGCUUUUUAGAGAUUCCACAAUUUUUACAUGUCAUCCUACUCUAGUAUGUUAAUCUUAUCUUACAAUAAAUGCAAUAAAGUGCAAAAUAAAAGACACUCAUUAGAUGUCGCUAGUGUUAAUUUUUUAAUCUAAGAACUUGAUUUUAUAUUUCUCCAAUGAGCAAAAUAUAAGCACAGUUCGUAAAAAGACUCUUUGGAAAAACACUUUUCCUGGUGUUAAUAUAUAUAUUUUGCAUAUUUCAAGAUAUGCAAAUUUGAUCUUCGUAAAAUAUAAGCACAUUCCAACAAAAUUUCAAGAUAAGAAAAACUCGAAUAAUUAUUUUUAAAACUAAUCUUAAAAUCUGCAUAUUUCUUUCAAAAACAUUUCUUAGAUAUAGUUUUAUAUAUACUUUUCUCCAUCAAAAGCUGCAAUGUUAAUCUCAUUAUUGCACUUUUUCCGGGCAUUGUUGACAACAUUAUAUCUCACAUGUUAAUCUCAUUAUUGAGAAGUCACAUGGCUUGAAAAUUCUUAAAGAAAAUUAAAGGAAAAAUGGAAUAAAAGAUGAACCAAAAUGGUGAUGAACUUCCACUAUUGGCAUAGUAAUAACUCCUCAUUCUGUCUUCUUCCCCCCACAUAUUGCCCACACCAGUUCAUACAUUAUAUACAUUUACAUAAUUAAGUUGUAUAAUUAAGGGUAUCAUGUUUUUAAUAUUGAUUUUGGUUAGAUAUUUGUACCAUAUUCUAUAAUUCAUGCUCAUAACCCCACAAAUACGUGGACAUGUAGUAGGAAAUACAAAGCUAAAUUUGGAUUAUUCUUUAUCACAAACUACCAAAAGGUUAUGUUCAAAAACAUCAUAAAAGAAAUGAUUAAAAAUCAAAUAUAUAUCUUCAUUCUUAAACCUCAAAAAGAAAAAGAAUCAAUUAGUGGAACAAAAUCUCACAAUGUUACAAUAGCUACAAUCAAAGGAUUUGAAGAAAUAUCAUAAACCACUUUGGAUCCAUAAUGCAUAAUACUCAAAAUACAAUAUAUAUUCACUUUCCAUUCCCUCUAAAAACAACUUGAAAUUAAAAUGAAAAUAAAUGCAAAAAGCAUUUUGGAGUUACUUUUGUCAAAUGAGGCAACUCAGCUAGGGCUGCUAAGAGGAAAUGACAUAGGAAUAGGACACAACAUUUUACCCUACCCAUCUCUUCUAAUCAUUCAAAAUUUGUCAAGAUGCUUCUAACCAUUUUGCGUAUAUUUUAAUUAGUGGUUGAAGAUUGAAACAGUGACUGAUUCUAACUAUUUGGAGUAAAACAAAGUAAUGGGAGAGAAGUGGCCAGCUGGGAAACAUAAUAUAAUGCAAUUACAUCAAAAUGAAACCAAUUGAAUAUUUGAAUUGGUCCUUCAUGAUGGCUACCCUUUAACAAUUCAAUCACAUUAUAAAUACUUAGUCUCUCAUUUAGCUUUUCACAAUAAUCACUUACACCAAAACAUCUUCUUUUCUUCCAAACUUUUCUUCUACUUCUAAGAAUAUUAGGGAGGUUAAGUAAUAACAUAAGCAUUGGAGGUGCCAAGUUUUUUCUUUCUACCCAUGACUGUUAAGGCCAGUAGCCCCAAAAGGGGUCAUAACUGGCCACCAAUGGCAAUGGCAUUGGCCAUUGUUUUGAUUUCAACUAGUGUGGUUUCUGCUGCUGCAGAUAGUUAUAUUUACUCUUCUCCUCCACCACCUUACGAGUAUAAGUCGCCACCGCCACCAUCACCUUCACCACCACCUCCUUAUGUUUACAAAUCGCCACCUCCUCCAUCCCCAUCACCUCCACCACCUUAUGAGCACAAGGCUCCUGCUUAUGAGUACAAGUCACCACCACCACCAACUCCUUCACCACCACCUCCUUAUGUGUACAAGUCACCACCACCGCCAUCUCCUUCACCACCACCUCCUUAUGUGUACAAGUCACCACCACCACCCUCACCUUCCCCACCACCACCAUACUACUACAAGAGUCCUCCACCACCUUCUCCUUCACCUCCACCUCCUUACUACUACAAAUCUCCUCCACCACCCUCACCUUCCCCACCACCACCAUACUAUUACAAGUCUCCUCCACCACCAUCUCCCUCACCUCCACCACCAUAUUACUACAAGUCUCCCCCACCACCCUCACCCUCCCCUCCACCCCCAUAUAUACACAAGGAUCCACCAUACUAUUACAAGUCCCCACCACCACCUUCACCAUCUCCUCCACCACCAUACUACUACAAAUCUCCCCCACCCCCUUCACCGUCUCCUCCACCACCAUACUACUACAAAUCUCCUCCUCCUCCAUCUCCUAUUCCCAAAACACCUUACUACUACAAAUCUCCCCCACCCCCUUCACCAUCUCCUCCACCACCAUACUACUACAAAUCUCCCCCACCCCCUUCACCGUCUCCUCCACCACCAUACUACUAUAAAUCUCCCCCACCACCGUCACCCUCUCCACCACCACCUUACUAUUACAAGUCUCCUCCCCCACCUUCACCAUCUCCUCCACCACCAUACUACUACAAAUCUCCUCCUCCUCCAUCUCCUAUUCCCCAUACACCUUACUAUUACAAAUCUCCCCCACCACCUUCACCAUCUCCUCCACCACCAUACUACUACAAAUCUCCUCCUCCUCCAUCUCCUAUUCCCCGUACACCUUACUAUUACAAAUCUCCCCCACCACCUUCACCAUCUCCUCCACCACCAUACUACUACAAAUCCCCUCCUCAUCCAUCUCCCAUUCCCCAUACACCUUACUAUUACACAUCUCCCCCACCACCUUCACCGUCUCCUCCACCACCAUAUUACUACAAAUCUCCUCCCCCUCCGUCUCCUAUUCCCCACACACCUUACUACUACAAGUCCCCACCACCACCAAAGGUCCUUCCACCACCAUACUAUUACAAUUCUCCUCCUCCACCUGUUGUGUAUCCUCACCCAUAUCCCUACCACCACUCACUUAUUGUGAGGGUAGUCGGUAAAGUCUACAGCUUCAGAUGUUAUGAUUGGAAUUAUCCUGCAAAGUCUCAUAACAAGAAACAUCUCAAAGGUACAUUACAUUUCUUAGGACCGGACCUCUUUAGAGUAAUGUGUUUAGAGAUAAUGCACAAUUUUUUAUUUUUUUAUCUCGUAAAGGUUUAUUUAUUAUAAUCACAAUUUCACUUUUGUCAAAAAGAAAAACAAUUUUACUAUAUAUAGUUUUAAUCAUUAACAUUUUGAUGUAAAAAGAAUACAAUUCUCUAUUACCUUUUUACUAUGAUAUAUAUACAAAGAUUAUUCAAAUCUAUAUAUCCAACCUAAUUUCCAUCCAAAAAAAUAGAAAACAUAGGGUGCUUUGAACGCCUGCAGCAUCACAUGAAUAAAUAAAAACAAUCAAUAAUCAACCUUGUUCUAAUUUAUUUUAGACAGCGAUUGUUAAGCAUACUGCUCUUUUAAUUACAUUUUUUUUAAAGAUGCUCUUUUAAUUAUAUUGUCCUAAUAUAAUAUGUGUCUUUAUAUAUUACUUGUCGUAAACUAAUUUUAUUAUGGGUGCAGGAGCUGUUGUUGAGGUGACAUGCAAAGCCGGGAGCAAAAUUGUCAAGGCUUAUGGAAAAACUAAGAACAAUGGAAAGUAUGCCAUCACAGUUAAGGACUUUGACUAUGUCAAAUAUGGUUCGACAGUGUGCAAGGCUGCCCUAUAUGCUCCACCUAAGGGUUCACCCUUCAACAUACCUACAAAGCUAAAUCAAGGAACAAAGUUGUACUUGAAAUCCAAAGACAAGUACGAGGUUGUGCUCAAGGCUAAGCCAUUUGCUUAUGCUUCAAAGAAACAUUUCAAAGAAUGUGAGAAGCCUAAGCCUUCACCAACUCCUUACUACUACAAAUCACCUCCACCUCCCUCACCAGUUUACAAAUACAACUCACCACCUCCACCGGUCCAUUAUUAUUCACCUCCAUACACCUACAAGUCACCUCCUCCCCCUGUGAAAGCGGCACCAACUCCUUACUACUACAAAUCACCUCCACCACCCGCACCGGUUUACAAGUACAACUCACCCCCUCCACCGGUCCAUUAUUAUUCACCACCAUAUACCUAUAAGUCACCUCCUCCCCCUGUGAAAGCGGCACCAACUCCUUACUACUACAAAUCACCUCCACCUCCCGCACCGGUUUACAAGUACAACUCCCCACCUCCACCGGUCCAUUAUUAUUCACCUCCAUAUACCUACAAGUCACCUCCUCCCCCUGUGAAAGUGGCACCAACUCCUUACUACUACAAAUCACCUCCACCACCCGCACCGGUUUACAAGUACAACUCACCACCUCCACCGGUCCAUUAUUAUUCUCCACCAUACUACUACAAGUCACCACCCCCACCAUCUCCAUCACCUCCUCCACCAUACUAUUUCAAAUACUAUUACAAGUCCCCACCUCCACCAUCACCAUCCCCUCCUCCACCUUAUUAUUACAAAUCUCCUCCUCCACCAAAACAAAUUUCACACCCUCCAUACUACUAUAAGUCACCACCCCCACCAUCACCAUCACCUCCUCCACCAUACUAUUAUAAGUCUCCACCUCCACCAUCACCAUCUCCCCCACCACCUUAUUAUUAUAAGUCACCACCCCCACCAUCCCCGUCCCCUCCUCCACCAUACUACUACAAGUCUCCACCUCCACCUAAAGAAAUAUCACAUCCUCCAUAUAACUAUAAGUCACCACCCCCACCAUCACCAUCCCCUCCCCCUCCAUACUAUUACAAAUCUCCUCCACCACCAUCACCAUCACCACCACCUCCCUACUAUUACAAAUCACCUCCACCACCAUCACCAUCACCUCCCCCUCCAUACUAUUACAAAUCUCCUCCACCACCAUCACCAUCACCACCACCUCCUUACUAUUACAAAUCACCUCCACCACCAUCCCCAUCACCACCACCUCCAUACUACUACAAAAGUCCCCCUCCACCAUCUCCAUCUCCUCCAUCCCCAUAUUACUACAAAUCUCCACCACCACCAUCACCAUCCCCACCCCCUCCCUACUAUUACAAAUCACCUCCACCUCCCUCACCAUCACCGCCACCUCCUUACUAUUACAAAUCACCUCCACCUCCCUCACCAUCACCGCCACCUCCUUACUAUUACAAAUCUCCCCCACCUCCAUCUCCAUCUCCACCACCUCCUUACCACUAUCAAAGUCCUCCUCCACCAUCUCCCAUUUCUCAUCCUCCCUACUACUACAAAUCCCCUCCACCACCAUCGCCGUCUCCUCCACCUCCUUACCACUAUGUGAGUCCUCCCCCACCAGUAAAGUCACCUCCACCACCAACUUAUAUCUAUGCUUCACCACCACCACCUCACUACAACUAAGCUCAAAGAGCAGAAGCUCCGUUCAUUAUAAAUCAUGUAAGUUUAUCAUCUUCAAUUUUCUGAAUGUGUGCGUGUGUAUUUGUUUUUUUGUUACAAGAUACUAACAAAAUUCUUUUCUUAUUUAUGUUCAGGUUUUAGUUUUCAUCUAGGAAUAAAGGCAAGCUCCAUUUGGAGUAAAGUGAAACUUCUAGCUUCGUGUCCGAAUUCGUUAAAUAAAUGUCGGGAUGUAUCGUCUUUGAGCUAUAAUAUUUCUGAUCCAGACAAUAUCUAUUUUGUUUCUUUGGUGGCAAUCUUGCACUUCCUGGUCUUAGUCUAUUCAAGUGACAGACAAAUCAAAAGGGAGAAGCGAGAUUAAUUUAUUUGUGAUCUCUUUGAUUUAUUUGUGCAUAUAUCAAUAUGAACGUGUAUGAUAUUUUUCUAUUUAUUGAAGAUUUUUUUACUGUAACCUGUUAUUGUGUUUGUCAAAAGGUGUUAAUAAAGAAUCACAUUCAAUUUCUGUUAAAUUAUCAGUAUUUGUUUCUUUCUAACAACUACCAUUCAUGCAAAUGUGGCUAUUAAAAAAAGCUCCAAUGACACAUAAAAAGCUUCCAAACAAUAUAUAAACAAAGAUGCAUUGUUUUCUGUUAAGAAGGGGACAGGGUUACGGUUACUUGUGUACCAAGUUAGUUAUCCAUGCUUUCUUGUUCAUAGGAUUUAUAUGGUGUAGUUGCACUUAGUUGCUAAAUGUAUGCAAGCUUUUCCUUUCUAUAAAUAAGCACACCUACUAUCAUUCUUCUCCACAUUCCUUUCUACUCUUCUAUCAUGAAUUGUUCAUCCACAUAAGAUGGUCACAGAGCACACCUAAUACUCUGCUACUGGUGUAUCAGUUCCUUUCCACCAGAAACUUAUGAUCUCUAAUUGAAAGAGAUCCUAAAGUUUUAAGAUUUCUACAAAAUACAUUAUUCUCAUUUUUGUACAAGUAUGAUACAAUUAUUCCCAAGUAUUAUUUAUUCUAAGGAAUAGAAUUUAGUUGUGGUUUCUCUAUUUAACCAACAUUUAUUUUUAAAUAACUAAAUUUAAAAAAAAAAUCCUGAAAUUAUUAAGUACAUACCUAACACAUUGUAAAAUUUUGUUCCCAAAGAAAAUAUUUUUGGCAAUAGAAUUUUCAGGAACUUCAUUCCUAGGAAUAUAAUUCUAUACUAAGAGAAGAGCUUAAGCAUUGAUACAUAACAAGACCAAUCCAUAUCCUAAUCACAAUCCUACUUUCACUAAAUACUUUCACUUAAGUGUGGUCUUGGAAAGGACAAAUGAAGAAAGACAUUCCAGAGGUAUGGUAAGGGACAAUAUCUGCAGUUAUGCACAUAUUGCAAGAUUGUGAGGAACUACCGGACUGAUUUGAUUCACCAAAAAAUUUGGAAUAAAUAUUUCAGCCCAGAACUCAGACAAUGACUGGAUUGGAACCUUUCAGCUUCUAAUAUCGGUACUGUCCAAGGAAAUAGUCAUUCUCUUUUUGGAGUAGCUGUGAAGGAUUUAUGGAAAGAUAGAACUAAGCUGGUCUUUUCUAGAAACACCGCGAUUGGAACUACUCUAUUUUGGCUUGUAGCCAAUCCGGCUAAGUUUAUUAACAAUGUAGUUUGUACUCAAGCUCACAGUCACGAUGUUGUCAGCAACAGUGGGCAUAUUGUUUAGGUAGCCUGGAAUUUUCCUCCCCAACACUUCUUCAAAGUGAAUAUGAUGGAUCUCUACGGGAUUAUGUUAGUUUCCAGGAUCGAACUCAGAACCUCCUGAUUAUAACUCCUUCAAUGUAUGUCCCUUACCCACGUGGGGCCUCGGCUGUAAUUGUUAACAUGGUAAAAUUUGGCUCUUCCAAUAAUGGUUUUAUCCAAACUCGAGGUUGUUUAUCGUCUCCAACAAUCAGAUUGGAGAAUACUAGUGGUUCAUGCAUUUGAACAAACCAACUGUUGUGCAGAUUUUCUAGUUGAUUUUGUUUUUCCUUUUUUGAGUAUUUUAUUAGCCAAUGAUAUAAGAGGUUGUAGCCUACCUCUUUUGAUUUCUUAAGACAAUCACUUUUGCAUUAGAAAAAAACGACCCUACAUAAAAUUAAUGAUUGAAUUAAGAUAUAACUUCAGUUUGAAAUAUUGUAAAAUUCUAUACCACCAAAAACUGAGAAUUUUAGAACCAUACAGGUUGGUGGAGUGGUCAUCCAGAUAACUUUAACAUAAUUAACAGUCCAAAAAGUAAAUAGCUUUAUCCUUUAUUUUCAAUCUGAUGUGAUUUACUCUUAUCUGUUAAACAUUAUAAUUAAGAAUCCAAAGGGAACACUCACCUAAUCUCUCUCUUUUUUCUAGCUUUUUCACUAAACCACUGUGUCUGUGGUUACCACAUUUCCUUAUGGAAUCAAUAUCCAAUUUAUGUUAAAAACCAUUUCUACAUUUUGUGUUAAAAAUGAUCUAAACAAAGAUGAUUUAUUUCUCUUAAAUUCAACAUAGAUCAUAUUUACAUGGUUCAAACUUUCUAUUACACGGCAUUGACUUAGUUGCUUCACAUGGGGACACAACUAAUGCAUAUAUUAUUUUAUAUGCUUAUAGUAAUUUUAACAAGUGGCAAUGGGGCAUAUGUUUUGUCAAAAAAACACAAAAAACAGGAGGCAUGUGCAACUGAAGUCACUGCCAGCUUGGCACUAAGAUAUAGUAAAAUAAUUGACAUUUGAAGAAAACAAAGACGUUGCUACAUUUCUAUUCAAACAAGCGACAUCAAUAUCAGACAAUGGUGCUACAUUUAAUAAUACUACAGCUAUCCCCAUAAGCACCUCUUAGAAAGAAAAAAAAAUAUCCAUUAAAUUAAUGUUGGAAGAGUUAGCAACAUGUCCUCUCCCAAAAAAACUCAUGUUUGAUUCCUAGAGUCGUCCAUUUCGAAAGAAGCUCAACCCUGAUAAUAAAAACCUAGAUGUUAUGCUGCAGACUUAAAGAUCAAUUUCAUAAUGGAUCCAAAGGGCCUAAGCUGUGUGGGAUACUUAAGGGGGUAUAUUGAGGCUAAGGGUCAAAGAUCUUAAUUAUGGUCGGUUAAAAAAAGAAGAAAAAAAAAUUAUCUCUAAAUAUAAAGUCAACAAUAUUUCAAAUUGCAAGAUACAUUUAUUUAUUUUUUAAAUAUGUAUAUACCUCUUAUUAAUACUUACUAAUUUGUUUUGAGUGAUAAAAAGUUACGAGUUAGACAGAUCAGCACAUAAAAAAAGUAUUUGAAAAACAUCUACCAACAAAAUAAACACAUUAAAAACAAUACUACUUUUUUACAAUACUGUAUGUGAAAAUGACAAAAUCUUGAAAAAGAUGGAGGUAACAUGUACUCUUUUUUUUUUAGAGGGGAGCAUGUACUUUUCCACUAACAAUGUUGAUAAGAAACAUAUAAAAUACUAUUAGAGAAAGAAAAAAAAUAAUAAAUAAAGAAAUAUAUAAAAUACUGAGGAAUGACUCACUCAUGUCAAAUUUUAGCAAGGGAGAAGUGAUAUCACAUCAUUUUAGAAGAGGAAUGAGAAUAGAUAGAUCUAAUUUUUCUAGUAAGUUUGAAUAGUAGAAUCAUACUUCUUUGUCUUUUGUGAAAAUUUCAUAUUAUGGGAUCUAUUACUAGAAUACAGGUGAUUUUAUUCUGGAAGAUUGACUUUUUAUUAAAAUAAAAUAAAAGUACAUUUUUUAUUUCCAAAUGCUUAGUUGUUCAUUUAUAAAUAUUACAUUAUCCAACAGCACCAAACCCUAUUUCAUAACGGUACUCUGCACGUUUCAUUCAUUUACUGGUGCCUUAGUUUUUUGUUACAAACAGACAUUGAUCAGAGGAACAAAUGUAGAGACAAAUUGAAGAUAAUAUAUCACAUAAUAUUGUAGACACACCUUCACAUACAAAUGGGGUAAAGUCCCUCAUAGUAGUAUUAGAAAUAACACUUAGAGUAAAAUUUUGCUAAAUUUAACAUGAAAAUAAGUGUAAUGUAUUUUAUAGGCAGCUAUACAUAAUUAUUAAUUAGAACAAUUUUUUACACUGUCAAACAAAAAUUGAACAAUUUUUUACUAGCUUUAUGCUUUAUGAUGUUUUGAUUCCAUGUGCACAUUUCAAUUUUAGAACUAUUCCUUUCUAUGUUACUGAAAUAAUUCUAUCAUUAGGCAUUGACAUUUCCAUUAUGCGUGCACGUUAAAGUGUUUUCCCAAACAGAGAAAUAUUAAGAAAGGUUAAACUUUUGACUUAAAGACACAACUAAAAUAAGAUCCAAGGAAAACCCCAUUGAUUAUUUCUUGCACAAAAUUAAAAACCCCAUUGAUUAUUUCUUGCACAAAAUUAAAAUGCUAAUAAUUUUUCCUGGUCUAUAUUUUUCUCCUUCCGGGAAAUGGCAACAUCACAUGUUCAUCUCAUAAUUGAGAAAACACAUGUCUGGGAAAAUAUCUUAAAGAAAAGGCAGUAAAGUAAUAAAAAGUGCACCAAAUAGAGAUUAACUAGUACUCUUUGCAUGUCAACUAAGUGGUAUAAUUAUGUAUAUCACAUUCUUAAUAUUGAUUAUCUUGAUUGCACGAUAAGCCCCUCAAAUUGCUCAAUCGAUGAUUGCUUGAUAAGCCCAUCAAAUUGCCCAAUCGAUCGAAUCGUAACUUUCGAUAGACAUUUUUUUUAAGAAAACCCAAUUGGAUCAUAACUCCCCAUAGUCAUUUAUUUGAAAUUGUGAGCAAUUUGAUAACUUAUUGAGCAAUCACCAUUGAUUUUAGUCUCAAUUUAUCCUAAUGUUGUAACCCUGGAAUAAUGGAACAGUGAGUAAAUUUGGUUUCUCCGUCUCAAAAUAAGUGUCACAAUUUAACCAUGUGCACUACUCAUCAAAUCUACUUUGACAACAUUUUUUUUACUAAUAUAUAAAGACAAUGUUAGUACAUUACAUGUUCGAUUUGUCUUAGUUAAUGUUUUUAAAAUAUCGACUUUAUUAUAAUUUUUCUUAAUAGACAAUCAAAAAUAUCAAUUGUCAAAAUUGUGUAUUGAUAUGUAUGAAAAUCAAACUAUAACACUUACUUUGAGACGAAGAGAAUAACUAUUAAAAACUAAUGUUCAAAUAGAAAGAAAAGAAAACAAAGAUUCCAUACAAAGCUUGCAAAAUAGCUACAAUCAUAACCUAGAACAAAAAUCAUGACCACACACUAUAUCCAUUUUCCUUUUCCUAAAAAGCAAUUGAAGAUAAAAAAAAAAAAAAUAAUAAAUAAAAAAAAAAAAAAAAAAAAAAAAAANACCACCAUACUACUACAAAUCCCCACCUCCACCAUCGCCUUCUCCUCCACCACCAUACUACUACAAAUCCCCACCUCCACCAUCGCCUUCUCCUCCACCACCAUACUACUACAAAUCCCCACCUCCACCAUCGCCUUCUCCUCCACCACCAUACUACUACAAAUCCCCACCUCCACCAUCGCCUUCUCCUCCACCACCAUACUACUACAAAUCCCCACCUCCACCAUCGCCUUCUCCUCCACCACCAUACUACUACAAAUCCCCACCUCCACCAUCGCCUUCUCCUCCACCACCAUACUACUACAAAUCCCCACCUCCACCAUCGCCUUCUCCUCCACCACCAUACUACUACAAAUCCCCACCUCCACCAUCGCCUUCUCCUCCACCACCAUACUACUACAAAUCCCCACCUCCACCAUCGCCUUCUCCUCCACCACCAUACUACUACAAAUCCCCACCUCCACCAUCGCCUUCUCCUCCACCACCAUACUACUACAAAUCCCCACCUCCACCAUCGCCUUCUCCUCCACCACCAUACUACUACAAAUCCCCACCUCCACCAUCGCCUUCUCCUCCACCACCAUACUACUACAAAUCCCCACCUCCACCAUCGCCUUCUCCUCCACCACCAUACUACUACAAAUCCCCACCUCCACCAUCGCCUUCUCCUCCACCACCAUACUACUACAAAUCCCCACCUCCACCAUCGCCUUCUCCUCCACCACCAUACUACUACAAAUCCCCACCUCCACCAUCGCCUUCUCCUCCACCACCAUACUACUACAAAUCCCCACCUCCACCAUCGCCUUCUCCUCCACCACCAUACUACUACAAAUCCCCACCUCCACCAUCGCCUUCUCCUCCACCACCAUACUACUACAAAUCCCCACCUCCACCAUCGCCUUCUCCUCCACCACCAUACUACUACAAAUCCCCACCUCCACCAUCGCCUUCUCCUCCACCACCAUACUACUACAAAUCCCCACCUCCACCAUCGCCUUCUCCUCCACCACCAUACUACUACAAAUCCCCACCUCCACCAUCGCCUUCUCCUCCACCACCAUACUACUACAAAUCCCCACCUCCACCAUCGCCUUCUCCUCCACCACCAUACUACUACAAAUCCCCACCUCCACCAUCGCCUUCUCCUCCACCACCAUACUACUACAAAUCCCCACCUCCACCAUCGCCUUCUCCUCCACCACCAUACUACUACAAAUCCCCACCUCCACCAUCGCCUUCUCCUCCACCACCAUACUACUACAAAUCCCCACCUCCACCAUCGCCUUCUCCUCCACCACCAUACUACUACAAAUCCCCACCUCCACCAUCGCCUUCUCCUCCACCACCAUACUACUACAAAUCCCCACCUCCACCAUCGCCUUCUCCUCCCCCACCUUACUAUUACAAAUCCCCACCGCCACCUUCACCAUCUCCCCCACCACCCUACUACUAUAAAUCACCCCCACCACCUUCACCAUCUCCUCCACCACCAUACUACUACAAAUCACCCCCACCGCCAUAUGAACACAAGACUAAACCAUACUAUUACAAGUCUCCUCCACCACCAUAUGAACACAAGACUAAACCAUACUAUUACAAGUCCCCACCACCACCUUCACCAUCUCCUCCACCACCAUACUAUUACAAGUCCCCACCACCACCUUCACCGUCUCCACCCCCACCAUACUACUACAAAUCACCUCCUCCUCCAUCACCUAUUCCCCAUACACCUUACUACUACAAGUCCCCACCACCACCUAAGGUUCUUCCACCACCAUACUAUUACAACUCUCCUCCUCCACCUGUUGUGUAUCAUCACCCUCAUCCCUACCACCAUGCAUUGAUCGUGAAGGUAGUGGGUAACGUCUACAGCUUCAGAUGUUAUGACUGGGAGUAUCCUGAAAAGUCUCAUAACAAGAAACACCUCAAAGGUACAUCACAUUACAUUUCUCAAUUCUUUCAUUUUUAUAGAUUUUAUGUACAUCACUAUUGGCUCGUAGUUUCUCAAUACCAUUACAACUAAACUGCAAGUUUCAGUAAUGAGAUUCAUAUAGACAUGUUUUUAUUAACAUCUUUGUUUCUUAGAAAUUAUACAAACACUUAAUUUAGGUUUCUCCAUGUCCAAUAAAGUAAACAAUUGAUAUAUCAAAUUAACAUAUAUGAUAUAUCAUUUACCUCAUUAAAAUUUAAUAAUCCUGCCUAAUAUAAAGAUUCGGUUUGAAAAUGAUAGUUUAGUGAGCUUCUUUAUAAUAACACUCUCCAAUAUAUUAUGUUUUAAAAACAAUUAUAUUUCUAUUUGUCUAAAUUCAAAUUUGUUAUGGGACAGGUGCUGUUGUUGAAGUGACAUGCAAAGCCGGGAGCAAAAUCAUCAAGGCUUACGGUAAAACUAAGAUCAAUGGAAAGUAUGCCAUCACAGUUAAGGACUUUGACUAUGUCAAAUAUGGUUCAACAGUGUGCAAGGCUGCCCUUUAUGCUCCACCUAAGGGUUCACCCUUCAACAUACCUACAAAGCUAAACCAAGGAACAAACUUGUACUUGAAAUCCAAAGACAAGUACGAGGUUGUGCUCAAGGCUAAGCCAUUUGCUUAUGCUUCAAAGAAACAUUUCAAAGAAUGUGAGAAGUCCAAGCCUUCACCAACUCCUUACUACUACAAAUCACCUCCACCUCCCUCACCAGUUUACAAGUAUAACUCACCACCUCCACCCGUCCAUUAUUACUCACCUCCAUAUUACUACAAGUCACCUCCUCCCCCCGUGAAAGCGGCACCAACUCCUUACUACUACAAAUCACCUCCACCUCCCGCACCAGUUUACAAGUACAACUCCCCACCUCCGCCAGUCCAUUACUAUUCACCUCCAUACACCUAUAAGUCACCUCCUCCUCCUGUGAAAGCAGCACCAACUCCUUACUACUACAAAUCACCUCCACCUCCCGCACCGGUUUACAAGUACAACUCACCACCUCCACCGGUCCAUUAUUAUUCUCCACCAUACUACUACAAGUCACCACCCCCACCAUCUCCAUCACCUCCUCCACCAUACUAUUUCAAAUACUAUUACAAGUCCCCACCUCCACCAUCACCAUCCCCUCCUCCACCUUAUUAUUACAAAUCUCCUCCUCCACCAAAACAAAUUUCACACCCUCCAUACUACUAUAAGUCACCACCCCCACCAUCACCAUCACCUCCUCCACCAUACUAUUAUAAGUCUCCACCUCCACCAUCACCAUCUCCCCCACCACCUUAUUAUUAUAAGUCACCACCCCCACCAUCCCCGUCCCCUCCUCCACCAUACUACUACAAGUCUCCACCUCCACCUAAAGAAAUAUCACAUCCUCCAUAUAACUAUAAGUCACCACCCCCACCAUCACCAUCCCCUCCCCCUCCAUACUAUUACAAAUCUCCUCCACCACCAUCACCAUCACCACCACCUCCCUACUAUUACAAAUCACCUCCACCACCAUCACCAUCACCUCCCCCUCCAUACUAUUACAAAUCUCCUCCACCACCAUCACCAUCACCACCACCUCCUUACUAUUACAAAUCACCUCCACCACCAUCCCCAUCACCACCACCUCCAUACUACUACAAAAGUCCCCCUCCACCAUCUCCAUCUCCUCCAUCCCCAUAUUACUACAAAUCUCCACCACCACCAUCACCAUCCCCACCCCCUCCCUACUAUUACAAAUCACCUCCACCUCCCUCACCAUCACCGCCACCUCCUUACUAUUACAAAUCUCCCCCACCUCCAUCUCCAUCUCCACCACCUCCUUAUCACUAUCAAAGUCCUCCUCCCCCAUCUCCCAUUUCUCAUCCUCCCAACUACUACAAAUCCCCUCCACCACCAUCGCCAUCUCCUCCACCUCCAUACCAUUACGUGAGUCCUCCCCCACCAGUAAAGUCACCUCCACCACCAGCUUACAUCUAUGCUUCUCCACCACCACCAAUCUACAA
rnacentral:lncRNA from 1 species